rnacentral:lncRNA from 1 species
AUAAUUAUAGGGUAUGCUCACCAUACACCUAAUCAUUUUAUAUGUGUCAUCUCACUGAAUUUUAGUUAAUUUUCACAUUAAUUGUUACUUUUUUAUUUAAAAAAAAAAUUAACCAAGGUUAAGUAAAAUGACACGUUACAAAUGAUCUGUAUGGUGAGCAUACACCAAUUUUUAGGGUAGUGAGCAAAAAUGCUCCUAUACUUACGUGGAGCAUUUUUGCUCACCACCAUUACUAUAAUGUAUGCUUACCAUACACCUAAUCAUUUGGUAUGUCUCAUUUCACUUGACUCUAGUUAACUUUCACAUUAAAUGUUACUUUUCUAAUUUUGAAAAAAAUUAACCAAUGUUAAGUGAAGGGACAUGUGGCAAAUGAUUAGGUAUAUGGUGAGCAUACACCAAAGUUUAGACCAUCUCCAACCUUUGUUAAAACCUAACAUUUUUAACCCCGAAAAGGUUUUUUUGCUCCAACCCUUAUGGGUUAAAUUUUUAGCCCAACAUUAUUAAAGAAUGAAUUUAGGAUAUUUUUUUUUCUUAAAGUAACUGUUUUUACCCAAAAAAAAAAUUAUGUAAACUAUCCUAAUUUAUUUUAUGAACAUUUUAACCAAAAAAUAUUUAGAUUCCUAUAAAUAUUUUAAAAUUACUAACUGACACACCCCGACCCAGAAUGUCCACUAGGACUCCAAAUCGAGCUAUACUGGCCGACACCUGGAAGGUGACGUAGCCAUAAAGUGUGAUGAUGUGGAACAAUAUGAAUAAAUUUAAACCUAAGAGUGCCUAAAUACUAGAGUGCACCGGUGAGCGGGAAUGAACCCACUUCACAUGUGACAUUAGAGCAUAAGCAAGUACAAAAGAGUGAAUUAAGAAUUGUGCCCUCGAAAUAGUCUCCAAUACUAAGAAUCGCCACGAAUCUUCGGCGAUAAGAAAGCUCAGCUAAUAAAACCUGGAGGGUGAAGACAAGACAAGGGUGAGUGGCCUUAUAAGUAAGAUUUUAAUAGAAACCAUAUAAACAUUAUAACCCCUUGCUACAACACCCGUAUAAUUUGCAGAAAAAAAAUCAUAAUAUACCACAACACAGCAUCUCAUCAAUAAUAUCAAAUAAUCAUGCGAUUAAUAACUCAUACUAGUACGCAAGUCGGAGUCACCUAGGGUGACCUGUACAACUUACCCAUAUCUCAUCACAUAUACUAGUUCAUCACAUAUUUCAUCACACAUGUUAGCUCAUAACAUAUUCAUCACAUAUGCUAGCUCAUAACAUAUUCAUCACAUAUGCUAGCUCGUCACAUUUUCAUCACAUAUGCUAGCUCGUCAUGUUUUCAUUACUUAUGCUAACUAAUAAGUCAGAGUCACCUAUAAUGACUUGUACGACUUAUCCAUAUCUCAUCACAUAUCUCAUCAAUCGUGACUGUCAUAUAAGUCGGAGUCACCUAUAGUGACUUGUACGACUUAUCCAUAUCUCAUCACACAUCUCAUCAAUUGUGGCUAGCAUAUAAGUCGGAGUCACCUAUAGUGACUUGUACGACUGAAAUCAUAGUUCAUCAAUCAUUGCUAGCACAUAAGUCGGAGUUACCUCUAGUGACCUGUACAGCACUACAUCUGCACACGAGUCGGAACCACCUGUAAUGGUCUGUACGACAGGCCUGGGUGUGAAUGUAUACGCUCUAGUGCUACAAUCACGUAAACCACCUAUAGUGGUCUGGGUGUGAGUGAUCGCGGUCACCUAUAGUGCUACAAUCACGUGAACCACCUAUAGUGCUACAAUCAUGUAUAGGCCUGGGUGUGAGUGAUCGCGGUCACCUACGAGUCGGAACCACCUAUAGUGGUCUGUACGACAGGCAUGUGCACCUAACUUGGAUCCAAGGUGAGCGUAUGGUGCGAGAGGUGAACAUCACGUGAAAGACUGUGCCUUGACCAUGGGCGGGAGCACUAACACCGGGGUGCAGGUUUAUGAGCUUUGAAUACAUCAAAUACAACAAUUACGACUCAUAGGCAACCUGUACGACAAUGCCAGAGUUGCCUACUAUUGCAACUUGUACGACAGUGUCGGAGUUGCCUAAAACGUAAAUGUAGUCAUAUCAUAACCCUAUCAAUUCAAAUAAUACCGUAUACUCACUUGAACUUACUUGAACUUACCUGAACUUACCUGAACUUACCUGUGUGUCCUGCAUUCACCUUUGCACUUCAGAGCGUUCACAAUAAUUAUGUGCAAGGAAUAUACGUAUGGAUAUGCCAUGAUAAAAUCUAAAAUUAAAACAUUUCAUAAUAUUUCUAAUUAUAUAAUACGGUGUACUAACUAUUAAUCACCAAAACAUAAAGUUAAAACGCACAUUUUCACCAAUAUCCCUCACAUUGCUCAAUUCCUUAAACAAGGCUAUUGUCUCGAUUAUUUAAUCUCAUUUCUUAUAUGGCAUCUAACGUCUCGUUAGACUGCCUACGUACCCUAGACAGGGAUCAAGCCAUUCGUAGUUCACAAUAAUUAUUUCAAAGCAUUCACAAUAAUAGUAAGCCAUAAUCAAUUAUACACGUUUAUGGAAUUAUCAAUCACACACACACACAUAGAUAUAUAUAUAUAUAUAUAUAUAUAUAUAUAAAAUAUACGAUGGAAAGGAAAAGACUUACUCACCUAGAGUCCACGCUAUGGUUCCUUAGCACGCACAUCAAGGCGUCUCGAACGAUUGGCGCCUGUGACCAAUUAUAGAAUCACAUAUCAGAACUCUUAUGAAUAAUACGUAAUUCACAUAAAGCACAUCCUCAAGGAUGUUCUAAAAUAGUUUGAGACCCAUUGACCACAAGUCAACCGUCGAUCGAAGAUCGACGGUUGGGUCCACAACCCUGCAAAACUCAAUCUGGAAGAUCCGCAUCUUAGAUUCCUAAUCUGCAACCUCCAAAGAUACACAUUAUACUUCUAGCAUAACAUACUAAAAUUUCAUUACGAUCCAACGGUCGGAUCUCCGUCAAUUGCCCAAAACUAAGUGACGGUUAACAUUUAUUUUAUAAACUUACAAAUCCAAUUCGAGAAGAUCCGUACGUCAGAUUCCUGAUCUAUAAGUUCCUAUGAUCAUCAAAUAUUAUGCACUAUAAUGUUUUAAAGUUUGGUGACGAUCCAACGAUCGGAUCGUCGAUUCAUAUUUUGACCUAUUCACGUGUCGAAAUGAAACUAAGCCCAAAUUAUGAACCCAGGGCAUAUAAUAGCACUUAAAUAAAACAUCAUUGGCCCACAGGCAACGUGCCACCGCACGCACCGCCCCGGGUGUCGGUUGGCCGCCCCGACUCGCCGAAAAAUUCAACUAUUUUUAAAAAUUCUCAAAAAUUACAGAAUUAAAGAUCUCAAAUAGUACAGUAAACUUUAUACCUGUGGCCAAGUCCCAUUUGGCCUAGAAAGGAUCCAAUUUUGCUAAAAUUGUACGAAACCCUAGAAUUAGGUGUGAUUCGAUUCGACCUCCAAACUUGCUUCGACGCCUCCACCACUGCUUGGGCUUUGUUACUGGGUUCUAGGGGAGUGUUUUGGUAGUGGUAAUUGAAUGAAUUGUUUCAGGUUUGGUGAAUCUCGAGCAAUCCUUCCCGCAACACCUAUGGUGGUUUUUCCACCAAACUUCAACCAAAUUCCUUCAAAUUUUGGAUGGAAGUGGAAGAGGGAGGGCUCGGGUGGUGUUUCCAGGUAAUGGUUCAAGACAAUUCAUUGGAAAUUGGCCGGAAAAUGAACGAAUUUGGCCUUGAAGCUUGGCCUGGUCGCACGGGUCAAGAAGAAGACCCGACUUCCCCCUCCUUCACACCUUCCCUCGUUUCCUUCCUUUCCCUUCUCCCUGGUUGGUCAGUUCCUUUCUUCCUCUCCUGCGAUUGGGCAACAACCCAUCUCUCUUCCCUUUGCUAUUUCCCUCUUAUUCUUUCCUCUUUUUUCCACUCUUUUUAAAAUCACUAAAUGAUAAAUAAAAUAAAUACAUUUGAAAAAUAUAUAAAAAUAUAUAAAUAGUGAUCAAACCAAAAGUACUUCUCAGGUUUACAGUUCCGUAAUGUCGAGUACUUCAGGAAAACGCUAAUGGAUUAAUUCAUACACCUCGCUAUACGUUGUCAACAGAAGUCAAAACCAUCGCCUCUAAGGGCAUUUUCAUAAAAUCACACUUUUAAAUUUUGUAAAAACGUAAGAUUUGGGAUGGGUUGUCACACUAACUGUCACUAUGAAACUUGUAGAAUACUAUGAAAGAAUACGAAACACAUAAAAGAAUUUAUUUUAAUUAUUUAGACGAAUUUAAAUUUGGACUGUUCGAUCUUUUUAUUACAGUUGGAUAUGAUCGUAAUAGAUUUUAGUUGUUGGAUUCAAUGAAUUUAAAAAUAUUAAACUUAAAACAAAAAGUACACAUAUAUGGUGGGCCAACCCACUAACUCAAGGGGAAUCAUGUGCUAAAUUUGCCCUAAAAUUGAUUUUUAGGUUAAAACUCAUAUUUGGCCAAGGGUUGGAGCAAGUUAGGGUAGAUAUAGAACCUAAAAUUGAAGUUUUAGUCCAAGGGUUAGAGUAGGUGUUAGGGUGGUGAGCAAAAUGAUAUUCUAACACAUGUUUUAUUGUUUUAAAAUAUAAUAGACAUGUCAUUAAUUUUUCUUGCACUUUAAAAAACAAGAAAGUAAGGGCGGAGUUAGGAAUUUUUCAUCAAGUGGGCUAGCUUAAAGAUUAGGAUCUUUAUAAACGAAAAACUUGAUACCAUAUUUUUCACAAUAUCAGCUAGCUAAAGAAACUUUUCACAAGGUGAGCUAGAAUUUUUUUUGUUAUUAAACAAAGACGUGAUAAAGUUCAAAACUAUCACAUCCUGGCCCAGGGCAAACCACUUCCCGGGCCUGCUCCACCACUGUAGCACGAUAUUGUCUGCUUUGGGCUUACCAUUCCCUCAUAGUUUUUGUUUUCGGGAACUCACGAGCAACUUCCCAGUGGGUCACCCAUCAUGAGAGUGCUCUGACCUCCUUCUCGCUUAACUUCGAAGUUCCUAUAGAACCCGAAGCCAGUGAGCUCCCAAUAUGCCUCGUGCUAGGUAGGGAUGGGAAUAUACAUUUAAGGAUCACUCCCCUGAGCAAUGUAGGAUGUUACAAUCCACCUCCCUUAGGGGCCCAACAUCCUCGUCGGCACACUUCCGGCCAGGGAUUGGCUCUUAUACUAUUUGUCACAUCUCGACCCAGGGCGGACCACUUCCCAGGCCUGCUCCACCACCGUAGCACGAUAUUGUCCGCUUUGGGCUUACCAUUCCCUCAUGAUUUUUGUUUUUGGGAACUCACGAGCAACUUUCUAGUGGGUCACCCAUCAUGGGAGUGUUCUGACCUCCUUCUUGCUUAACUUCGAAGUUCCUACGGAACCCCGAAGCCAGUGAGCUCCCAAAAGGCCUCGUUCUAGGUAAGGAUGAGAAUAUACAUUUAAGGAUCACUCCCCUGGGCGAUGUGGGAUGUUACAAAAACAAAGCCAAAGUUGAAACAUAUAUGUAAAUGAAAUGAUGACCAAAAUAGUGUAAGAAAAAAAGAUGGUUUGUAACUGUAUUAUAUGCUUUUAUUUAAUUAAACUGUGAUAAUUAAGAUUAGUGGCUAAAUAUAUAAUAGGCUACAAUUAAAAAUCAAUGAAAAUUACAAGUAAAAUAUUAAUUUUUCUCAGAAAGCUACAAUGAGACCCUGUGUGACAACCCGUCCCUAAUUUUGCUAUGUAAUUUCUCCCCGAGUAUGUGUAUUGACGGUUAUGCCCUUAUUGGCAAGUGACCUAGACAUAUUUAUAUCAAUUUUAUUUUAUUUCUCGUUAUCUCAUUUAAAUUGUACACGUUGUUACGAGUGUACGAGAAUUUCUAUUAGUGUAGAAACACUGUUACGGAUAGAUUUCGAUUCCUCUUUUUGUACAAAAUCUAAAACUUUAUCCCUAGCCUUCUAUUUAGACCAUCCCGUGCUCCCCUUUAUGUCAUCCAUUAAUCCCAUCCACUCCCCCUUUGCAGCAACCAAUCAGAAAAAGAGAGAAAGAGACUCUCUCGCUCUUCCUUCUCUCUCUCUCUCUCUCUCUCUCUCUCUCUCUCUCUCUCUCCCGUAUACUCUCCCUCUCUACAAACCCCUUGAAUGCAUCCUAAACCUCACAAAUCGAGCUCAAAAACCACACCAUUGUACUCUUCUCAUCUUCACGAACUCAACCAUGUUCCUGAAACCCGGAAUAGAUAAGUUUUCGACGUCGAACUCGUGAAGUCCGAACUUAGUGCUUUGAGUUCAUCGUGUCUAGGAACGAGUUGUGGGCUUUUAGGAAUUUUGAAGGCUUCCAUUAAACUCCUCGAGAUCCCUAGUGAAACGUUGGUGAAGAAGCCACGUUGAAACAACUGAGUUUCGAAGAGUUCUAGUUUGGCCAAAACUUUUAAGGUGAUUUCCAACCACCUCCGUCCACUUUUUGGAUUCCAAACGGGUAUAACACCAUUCUACGCUUCAUUAGCUUCAAAUCCAUAUAAAGUGGAUUAAAAAUGGAUGAGCAAUGAAGAAGUUAUGUUAAUUUGAAAUUUUCCCAGAAAUCUAACGAAAAUCAAGUUGCAGACAGCGGCAGACGACGGUGACGAUAAGGACAAUUGGAGAAGGUGAUGGAAUAUUCCGUCAAAAUUGACGGAAUAUUCCUGACGGCGUCAGGUAAUGUUGUUAAUCUCUGUUAGCAUUUAGUGGAAUAUUGCUGAUGGCGUCAGGCUAGCUGACGAUACUGGCCUGCGUGUGGGGGCGCGUCUGGCAGUGCCAUUGCAGGCGUGUGGAGGCCCGUGAAGGGUCCUUAAUUUAUUCUAAAACUAUAGGGAUGUUUAUGACAUCGAGUAUGUCACGAUGGUAUAUUUAAACCCUAGGUUUGAGCAAAGUAUGGGGGUUUUAUUUAGGUUUACGUAUAUGUGCUUUAAUUAAUUAAAAAUUAGUUAUUUCACAUAUAUGGGAAACGUAUCCCGAGGACGUUCGAGGCCAAGCUAGGCUCGGGGGCUAUGACCCAGCGACGUACUUGUGAAUGGGCAGUUUAUUUUUAUAUCUAUACGUAUUUAUAGUUUCCAGAAUUGCCUAAAUUCAUCACUUUACGUAUAUUGCCAAAUAAUUGAUAACUGCGAUAUAAUUGUGAUAAAUGUUGCUAUAUGGUAGAGAUAUUACUAUCAUGACAUUCAUGCAUAUUUGUACAUGCUCAUCUUGCUGCACCGAUGUUAGUACUCGCCUCAGGGCCAGGGCCAGUCCUUCAGCGUAUGUUCACAUCGCACCAUUCGCUCUCAUUGGAUCCAAGUUAGGUGUCAGUCUUGUCGGGUAGAUUGCAUUAGGCAAUUCAACUUGUAUGUGACCGUGCUCCUACACCAGCCUUCACGUGAUUGUAGUACUAGAGCAUAUUGAUUACACAUAGUCCUGUUCAUAUUAGAAAUUAUCUGUUCAAUCUUAUGUGUCAGCCUAGAUGGAUGAACACUUAGCUAUACUUGAUUAUCACAUGAUUAUAUUAUUGUGGCAUUUGAUAAAUCAUGACUUGGCAUAUUUCUGGUUAUAGUACUAUUAUAAUGCUGUUGAUUUAUCAUUUAUAGACUUACGUAGUAUGUUUUAAGGAAACUAUACUUGUUUUUUACGAAGGGUUAGUAUAUUCGAAAAUAAAGGAUUUCGUAUAAGCAUUGUUUUGCUGACCCACUCAACUUUGUUUUUUGCCCCUCCAGGACCUAGAUAGCUAUACUCUUUGUGGCACUCAAGGAAUCUCGGCAGUUCUGACAUUCUCUUCUGUUUAGACGUACGAACUUAUCAUUGUUAUGUAAUCAGUGUACUUUAGUUACUUUGACUACUCUUCUGUAGUCUCACUGUCUAUUACGCUCUAAAUAAAUGUAGUUGUUUCUUCCCAUGAUUGCACACUCUUUUAAUAAUUAGUAUAAUUAGUUUCAUUUAGUCUUGAAAUUAUUCACUGUUUGCAUCAUUUACCCUUAUGGUUAAGUCAUCCCAUGGUGAUGGUCAGCAUGUUUCAACCUUCCCAGGUCGGGGUCUAUCAGCUUGGUAUCAGAGCCUAGGUUUAGAUAGUCCUGCACUUCCUAAUGUGUUUUAACUCUGGUUUUCUUAUGUCAAAACCAUGCCACCUCGUAGAGAGCCACGUACUUCAGCUGAGAAUAAUUUUCCGGACUUUAGACAGUUUGGUGAGGCUAUUGCCAAUGCUAUUUAGUCUUCACUCCGUCCUGCCUCAAGGAAUGCUUUGGACAUUGUAUCUCAUUAGAAGAUUAAUGACUUCUUUGGUAAUGAGGGGCCGGAGAAAUCGGAGAUAUGGUUCGAUUAUGUUGAGAAGACCUUUCGAGUUAUGCAUCGACAUGGUAAUCUUCCUAUAGAGAGAUGGGUUGAAACGGCGACCUGGUUCUUUGGUUUGGGAGCAGAAUCUUGGUGGGAUCAGGAGAAGAAACCAUUAUCUGAUGAGGAUACUAUGAAUUGGGAUAUUUUCAAGUGGAUAUUUCAGACCUGAUUUGUCCAUUCGGAGUAUUUGGAUCGUAAGAAUGAUGAGUUCUCAAAUCUAAGGCAGGGUACGAUGUCAGCUACUGAGUAUCAUCAAAAGUUCACAGACCUAUCUCAUUAUUGCCCCGAGAUUACUACUAAUCCCUGGGAGAUGCUUCGUCUGUUUAAGAGGGGAACUUGCAAGAAAUGGCGUUCUAUGGCAACCACUACUCCCUGUGCUACGUAUCAGGAAUUCUUCGAGGUCUUGCUUUGGGUUGAAGAUUCGGAGAAUGCUCCUGACGAUGAGGAGGAAGAUGUUGGUAGGAAUGCCUAGAGGUACAGUAACAUGGGGCAAUCAUCACUUGGUCCGAGAAGGGUUCAAAAUUUUAAAAGGAGUGGAAACAGCUCUGGAUCGUCGAGUGGGGGUUCUAACUCUGGUACACCUCACAGAGGAGGUAGAUUCGCUGGUGAUUCUCGUUUUCAGAAUCAAGGAAUCUUCAGCAGUUUAGGUGUUCAAUUUUAUCGCAUGUGUAACACCCGUCACUAUGGUGAGUGUAAGAGAGGAAACAGAGGAUGUUUCACAUAAAGACAGACAGGGCAUAUGGCCUAUAAUUGUCCUCAGAAUUAGAAGAAUCAGCCUGUUAAUCUACCACCUGCAGUCCCUCUACAACAGUUUUUAGCACCUGGUAAUCGUAAGCAGAUAGGCCACGGUGGAGCUUUCCACUACCAAGGGGACGUAGCCCCUUGUCAGGGAGGACCAUACCAGUAUACACCUAAGGCUCCCUAAUAUCAGGGAGGCUAUCACCAGACCCAGGAAGGCUAUCCACAGUUUCAGGGAGACUAUACACCGUAUCAGGGUGGUGGAACACAUAUGUAUACUGGAGGACAGUAUUAGCAGAUCGUGAAGUGGAGUUCACCAUCAAUCUACUUCCAGGUACUAAUCCUAUACGGUAAGCAUGCUGGCCCCUCAUUACUUAGCUCAUGUUAUGCUAACGGAAGAAACUACGACAUCUGUGGAAAACGUCAGAGUAGUUAGACACUUUCCCGAUGUUUUUCCCGAGGAAUUACCUGGCUUACCCCCAGAUCAUGAAGUGGAGUUCACCAUGUUUUUCUUGAGGAAUUACCUUGCUUACCCCCAGAUCGUGAAGUGGAGUUCACCAUCGAUCUACUUCCAGGUACUAAUCCUAUUUCCCUUACACCUUACCGUAUGGCUCUUGCAGAGUUAAGGGAACUUAAAACUCAGUUGCAAGAGUUGGUUGAUAAGGGUUUCAUUCAGCCCAGCACUUCUCUGUGGAGAGCUUCAAUUCUGUCUGCAAGGAAGAAGAUGGAACUUUGAGGUUAUGCAUCGACUAUAGGCAGUUGAAUCGGGUGACGAUUAAAAACCAUUAUCCGUUACCUCAUAUUGAUGAUCUCAUUGACCAGCUUAAAGGUGCUUGUGUGUUCUUGAAAAUUGACCUAAGGUCUGGUUACUACCAAUUGAAGAUCAGAAGCGGCGACGUUCCGAAGAUAGCUUUCAGAACUCGAUAUGGUCAUUACGAGUUUCUUGUGAUGCCAUUUGGAUUGACUAAUGCACCAGCGGCAUUCAUGAACCUGAUGAAUCGAGUAUUUCAUCCAUACCUCGACAGGUUCGUCAUUGUUUUCAUAGAUGACAUUUUGGUGUAUUCGAAGAAUGAAAUUAAUCAUGCCAGGCAUUUGCGUUUGGUUCUAAAGACGUUAAGGGCAAAUCAGUUGUAUGCUAAGUUUAGCAAAUCUCAGUUUUGGUUGGAUCAAGUGUCAGUCUUAGGGCACGUGGUAUUAACUCAGGGUGUGCUUGUGGAUCCUUAAAAAGUAGCAACCGUGGAAAAUUGGGAACAACCUUUGACAGUUACGGAACUUCGAAGCUUUCUUGGUCUUGCUGGCUAUUAUCGACGCUUGGUGAAAGACCUUUCAACCAUAGCACUACCUCUGACAAAAUUGACUAGAAAAGAUGUUCCAUUUGUGUUGAGCAAUGAGUGUGAACAAAGUUUCCAGCAGUUGAAAUACCUUUUCACUCAUGCACCUGUCUUAGCACUUCCCCGAUGAUGGUGGAAACUUCGAGAUCUUCAGUGAUGCGUCUCUUAAUAGUCUUGGAUGUGUGUUAAUGCAGCAUGAUAAGGUGAUUGCUUAUGCAUCACAACAGUUAAAGCUUCAUGAGAAGAACUAUCAUACUCAUGAUCUCGAGCUGACAGCGAUCAUUUUCGCUUUGAAAAUCUGGAGGCACUAUCUUUAUAGGGAAAAGUGUAAGAUCUUCACUAAUCAUAAGAGCCUUAAGUAUAUCUUCACUCAGCCAAAUCUUAAUCUCCGGCAACGGAGGUGGGUAGAGUUGCUCAAUGAUUAUGAUUGCAUCAUUAAGUAUCACCCAGGUCGUGCCAAUUCGGUAGCUGUUGCUCUUAGUAGGAAGUCCCAUGGCCAACUUAAUGCUCUUUAUGCAAGUUGCAUUCCUCUUUUGACUGGUCUAAGAUCUACUGGAGUAGCAUUGAAAGCGGGGCGACAAGAUGCCCUAAUUGCCAAUUUUUAGGUCAGACCAGUUCUGCUAGAUUGUGUUCUCGAAUCCCAGAGGAACGAUACAGAAUCUCAGGAAUUGAUUCAGGAUGUGUCAGAUGGGAAAAAGAAAGACCUAAGGAUUAGAGAUCCUGAUGGCAUGCUUAUGCAAGGUGAGCGGAUGUAUGUACCGAAUGUUGAGGAACUAAAGAGAGACAUAUAGGAUAAAGUGCAUAUUUCUGCUUAUGCGAUGCAUGUAGAGAGUACCAAGAUGUAUCAUACCAUCUGACACUUCUAUUAUUGGCCAGAUAUGAAAAGAGAAAUUGCAAAGUAUGUUAGUCGUUGUGCAGUUUGCCAGCAGAUUAAGGCGGAAAGGAAAAAGCCAUUUGGAUUGCUACAACCACUCCCGAUACCCCAAUGGAAAUGGGAAGAUAUUACGAUGGAUUUCAUGUACAAAUGACCUCGUACGCGAAAUGGUUAUGAUGGUAUCUGGGUGAUAGUUGAUCGACUUACCAAGUCAGCACACUUCAUACCCGUUCGUGAGAAUUACUCGUUAAGUCAGUUGGCCGAACGGUUCAUCUCUGAAGUGAUUAAGUACCACGGAGUUCCACUGAGUAUCAUUUCUGACCGGGACCCCCGAUUUACUUCAAAGUUCUGGGUAGCUUUUCAAGAACUUUGGGAUCGAGAUUACUCUACAGCACCGCCUAUCAUCCUCAAACCGAUGGGUAGUCAGAGAGAACUAUCCAGACAUUGGAAGAUAUGUUGAGAUCGUCAGUUUUACAGUUUAGAGACGCUUGGCACAAGCACUUACUGUUGAUAGAGUUCGCGUACAACAACAACAUCCAUUCUAGUAUUGGUAUGGCACCAUUUGAAGCGUUGUAUGGGAAACCAUGUCGUACUCCACUUUGUUGGUCCGAGAUCGGUGAAUGAGUUUUGGUGGGCUUGGAGAUCGUGGAUGAAAUGACAUAGAACAUUCAGGUGAUAAAGUCUAACCUGAAAAUGGCCCAGGAUCGGCAGAAGAGUAUUGCCGACAGAGUUUAUAAGGUUGGUGAUUGGGUAUUCUUGAAAUUAUCGCCCUGGAAAAGAGUUGUGUAGUUUGGAAAGAAAGGGAAACUCAGCCCUAGGUACAUCGGACCAUACCAGAUAGUUGAACGAGUUGGUGAAGUUGGCAAGAGUGCACAAUGUGUUUCAUGUAUUGAUGCUACAGAGGUACGUCUCUGAUCCGUCACACGUGAUCCCUCCUCAACCGCUAGAGAUCAAUUCAGAUUUAACCUAUGAUGAGGUUCCACUGACUAUCCUUGAUUGGAAGGAUAAGGUUCUUAGGAACAAGAGCGUGCGGAUGGUGAAAGUUUUGUGGAGGAACCACUCAAUUGAGGAAGCUACUUAGGAGACAGAAGAGCGCAUGCGAGAUAUGUACCCACAUCUGUUUUAUGGUUUUGAUCUGUAAUAAAGGAUGAAAUUUUGGGGACAAAAUUUUUAUAAGGGGGUAGAUUGUGACGACCCGUCCCUAAUUUUCUUAUGUAAUUUCUCCCCGAGUAUGUGUAUUGACGGUUAUGCCCUUAUUGGCAAGUGACAUGGACGUAUUUAUAUCGCUUUUAUUUUAUUUCUCGUUAUCGCAUUGAAAUUUUACACGUUGUUACGAGUGUACGAGAAUUUCUAUCAGUGUAGAAACACUGUUACAGAUAGAUUUCAAUUCCCUUUUCUGUACAAAAUCUAAAACUCUAUCCCUAGCCUUCUAUUUAGCCUAUCCCAUGCUCCCCUUCAUGUUAUCCACCAAUCCUAUCCACUCCCCUUUUGCAGCAACCAAUCAAAAAAAAAGAAAAAAUGACUCUCUCUCUCUCUCUCUUCUGUAUACUCUCCCUCUCUGCAAACUCCUUGAAUGAACCCUAAACCUCACAAAUCAAGCCCAAAAACCACACCAUUGUACUCCUUUCAUCUUCACGAACUCAACCAUGUUCUUGAAACCCGGAAUGGACGAGUUUUCGACGUCGAACUCGUGAGGUCCAAACUCAGUGCGUUGAGUUCAUCGUGUUUAGGGUCGAGUUGCGAGCUUUUAGGAAUUUUGAAGGCUUCAAUUAAACUCCCCGAGAUCCCUAGUGAAACUUUGGUGAAGAAGCCACGUCGAAACAAUCGAGUUUCGAAGAGUUCCAGUUUGGCCGAAACUUUUGAGGUGAUUUCCGACCAGCUACGUCCACUUUUUGGACUCCAAAUGAGUAUAACGCCAUUCUACACUUCAUUAGCCUGAAAUCCAUAUAAAGUGGGUUAAAAAUGGAUGAGAAAUGAAAAAGUUAUGUUAAUUUGAAAUUUUCCCAGAAAUCCGACGAAAAUCAAGUUGCAGGCGGUAGCGGACGACGGCGACGGUGAGGAUAAUCGGUGAAGGUGACGAAAUAUUCUGUCAGAGUUGACGGAAUAUUCCUAACGACGUCAGGUAUCGCUGUUAAUAUCUAAUGGAAUAUUCCAUGGAAUAUUUCUGACGUCGUCAGGCUAGCUGACGACACUGGCCUGCAUCUGGGAGCGCGUCUGGCCAUGCCAUUGCUGGCGCAUGAAGGGUCCAUAAUUUAUUCUAAAAAUAUGAUGAUGUUCGUGACGUCGAGUAGGUCAUGAUGGUAUAUUUAAACCCUAGGUUUGAGCAAACUAUGGGGGUUUUACUUAGGUUUAUGUAUAUGUGCUUUAAUUAAUUCGAAAUUAGUUACUUCGGAUAUAGGGGAAACGUAUCUCGAGGACGUUCGAGGCCAAGCUAGGCUCGGGCACUAUGAACCAGUGACGUAAUUGUGAGUGGGCAGUUUAUUUUUAUAUCUAUACGUAUUUAUAGUUUCCAGAAUUGCAUAAAUUCAUCACUUUACGUAUAUUGCCAAAUAAUUGAUAACUGCGAUAUAAUUGUGAUAAAUGUUGUUAUAUGGUUGAGAUAUUACUGUCAUGACAUUCAUAUAUAUUUGUACAUGCUCAUCUUGCUGCAUCGAUGUUAGUACUAGCCCCAGGGCCAGGGCCAGUCCUUCACGUGUAUGUUCACAUUGCACCGUUCGCUCUCCUUGAAUCCAAGUUAGGUGCCAGUCCUGUCGGGUAGAUUGCAUUAGGCAAUUCGACUUGUAUGUGACCGUGCUCCUGCACCAGCCUUCAUGUGAUCAUAGUACUAGAGCAUAUUGAUUACACCUAGUCUUGUUCGUAUCAGAAAUUAUCUGUUCGAACUCGUAUGUCAGCCUAGAUAGAUGAGCACUUAUCUAUACUUGAUUAUCAUAUGAUUAUAUUAUUGUGGCAUUUGAUACAUCAUGACUUGGCAUAUUUCUGGUUAUAAUACUAUUAUAAUGUUGUUAAUUUAUCGUUUACAUACCUAUGUAGUAUGUUUUAAGGAAACUAUACUUGUUUUACGACGAGGAGUUAGUAUAUUCGAAAAUAAAGGAUUUUGUAUAAGCAUUGUUUUGCUGAUCCACUCAACUUUGUGGCACUCAAGGAAUCUCGGCAGUUCUGACAUUCUCUUCUGUUUAGACGUACGAACUUAUCACUGUUAUGUAAUAAGUGUACUGUAGUACUUUGACUACUCUUUUGUAGUCUCACUAUCUAUUACGCUCUGAAUAAUUGUAGUAGGUUCUUCCCACGAUUGCGCUCUCUUUCAGUAUUUAGUAUAAUUUGUUUCAAUUAGUCUUGAAAUUAUUCACUUUUUGCAUCACUUACCCUUAUGGUUACGUCACCUCAAGGUGAUGGCCAUCAUGCUUCGACCUUCCUAGGUCGGGGUGUUACCCUGAAUUUUUAAAGUCCUUAGCAAAUGUUGUUAUGAUUUUUGAAGUGUCUUCGAAUUUUACAUUUUUUAGUUCCUUUGAAAUGGGUGAUAAUUUUACAUGAGAUCAAUGGUUAUUUUGAUAUGAUAAGUUGAAAGUAGGCGAGACCACGAGUUUGUAGCAUUUUGUUUGAAUUAUUUUUCAGAGCUCGAACGAAUUUAUAGUGGAACUUUAAAAAUGGUAGAUUGGAGACACCAUGUGUCAACCAAAGAAUGGUUGACUUUGACACAUGGCAACAAAGAAUAGCUGGUUUUUACUCGUGGUAGUAGCCAACAAUUCCAACAAAAUGGACGUUGGUCAUCAUCUAAGUUCACCAUGUUAUUGCCUGGUAAGUUGGGAUUGGACCCAAAGAAAAAGGAAUAUAAAAAAGGAAGAUCAAAUCUUCCUUCUUAAUUUAACACUUGGUGAGUUGCCAUUGGACCCUAACUAAAGGAAGCAGUGCAUUUGCACCUAUAUAUAUAUAUAUAUAUAUAUAUAUAUAUAUAUAUAUAUAUAUGAGAAUAAAGUCAGUUUCUUCCUCAUACAACCUGAAGCACAAGGCAGAGAAGAAAAUUUUCCAUUAAUCUUUCGAAAUUCGUAACUUUCAAUCCGGGAAUCCGAUUGAGGAACGGUUUUCGCCUACAUGCUAAGUGAAUCGAACCCAAUGUUCAAAGGUAAAUUUCGAGGAUUAUUACUUAAAUUUGAAUAAUUCGUUCAGAUUGGGAUUUGUGACUAAUUAGACUCAAAUCUCCAAUUUCAAGCUUGUUCUUGCACGAUUUGAGGGCUUUGAAGCCUAUUUGAUGAUUGGAGAACGAUUUUCGAGACAUUAAGGUAAAGAUUUACACAUUAUCAGAUUGCUGGGAUUUUGUACAAAUUUCAUAUGAAUGAGAUAUAGAGGAAUAUGAUGUUUGAUUCGAAAUUCAUCAAUUUUUUUCUUUAAAGGACGUUUGUAUGGAAGAAGUGAGUUGUACUAUUGAUGGAUUGAGUUUUGGCUUGAAAGAUAUGUUGAAUUUCUGGGAAAAUAUACCUCAAAGCCACUGGUUUCAUACCAGGGACUGAACUGCGAAAAUAGUUUCAGUUUGGGUAAUUUUGUAAAUUACCGAAAGUUCAGGGGUCAAAGUGCAAUUAUCAAUAGUUUGGGGAACCUAUUUGAAAUAAUAAAAAGUUCAAAUACAGAAUUUUUAUUCUGGUUAAGUAGAGGUCCCUAUUGGAUAUAAUUGUUGGUAUGGGAAUAAAGUUGAGUCAUUAUAUAUGGACAUAUAGUGACAUAUUGUAAUUGUUGAACUAGGGACUCCAAUUACUCGCGGUGCUUACGUUUAUCGAGGUAUUGGUAAGGAAUAUUGCUUGCUUGACUUGAAGAGCAGGUAGGGGAAUCCUCACUUACCCUAGUUAUGGAAUUUUGUUAAUGUACGUAUAUGUAAAUAUACGAAUUGCCUGUGAAAGCUGCAUAUAUUUUGCUAUGAGAGAACCAUGAGGAAAAAUGAUUUUAUUUUAUAUCAUGAUAUGCAUGUUGUUUUAUGCUACAAAUUAAUUGAUGACUUGAGAGUGAAGGGGGCAUAGCGACCGCCUUGGGUUUCGAUCCCCUAAACCUCCGGAGGGGCUACUACGAAGGGAUUAGUACCAUUACCUUUCUAGGAGAGGUACUGGGAUAUCUAAGGGUAGAGCAUUAAAGGACACUCUCGCUACAUCGUACCAUAAUUAUAUUCAUUCAAAGUUGGUCAAAGUAAGGGGGUAGUUGGUCAUUGGACCGGUCAUCAGUCAUGUAGCAAUUUAUUAGGAUCCUUAUUUUCUUUUUAAAAGGAAAUUGUGUGAGUAUACAAUCUAAUUUCAAAACGAAAGCUUUUGUUGUGCAUCAAUCAUUUUCCUUUAGUAUAUGUAGUGUCGUAUACUAUUUUCAAACCUAGUUGGGGUGGAUUCCCUGAGGGGGAGCAAUUAUUACAGGGCUGGUGCACCUAUAAAUAAACGAUAUGGACUAAAGUCGGGACAAUCGUGGUUUGUUACUUGUCAACUUCUUAGUCGCUCACUGACUUUCCACAGUUUUGUUUGUACAUAUGCUUGAUUCCCUUCUUCUUGAAGGAAUAUUUUGUAGCUAAACUUAGCGUUAUGUACUUUCCAAAUCAUACUUAAGAGUUGGUUUAGUAUGUUUACUUACUUUAAACUCUUUGGUUUUGUUGUAAGUUGUAAACUUUGUCUUUGAUGCAAAACAUUUAUCUAAAUUCCGUUGCCUUUUAUUCUUCGUUUUACCAAAAGGAUUUCCACUUCCGUGCUGCUUAAAAAUAAAUUAUUUUACUUCCCCUUAAAUAGUCUUAUGUUCUAUUGGGAAUGUAGUGCUAUAGUGUUGGAAUUUAACACUAUAAUAUUACGUUACUAAUAGAGCGUGGCACUGUUACGUGCCCGUUUUUGGGGCGUGCCUUUAACUUUGGUAUUCUUUUAUUGAGCCAUUUUAGUCUCUCUACCCACUGUUUCUCUUUUGUCGCCACCAUAUGCAGCCAAAGACUACCCAUAAACAAAUCUGCAAAAUCACCUCCAUCUCUUCUGCAUCAAACCCAGUAGCCUUUAUUUCUCUUAUGUUUCUCUCACACACAUCUUUAUUGGAAAAAUUAGAGGUCAAGGAACUUGGGUGGAAGUAAAAGUAGGGGUUGCCAUGGGUGGUUAUGGUAGAGUGGCCAGCAUUUAAGGACAAGGAUUGGAUUGAAGACAUCGGAAAAAAGAGAUCUGGUUGUGUCUGUGGCCCGUGGGGAUGGAAAUGGUGAUGUCACUUAGAAAAGGAAAAAAAAAAGAGGGAGAUAGAGAGUUUUAUUUAUUAAUUCUAUUUUUCUUUUUAAAAAGAGUAAAUUUGAUCUAAGUUCAAUUUUGUGAGUUAUUUCUUUGUGAUUAUCCAUGCCAAUUUUUUUAAUUAUUUUUUACUAAAUUGUGAUAAAUAUCAUCUUUGUUGUAGGCAUAAUUUACUGAACAAUUAUGGAGGUCAUAGAGAGAGAAGGUGCGACACAUAAAGAGAGAAGAGAGAGAUGUGUAAUUGUGAGGUGUGUUCUAUUCCACCCCAUUGUGCCUUUAUUUAUAGUAGUAGGGAAGCUUAAUUCAUUACCCUAAUAGGAUUACAACUCUAAUAGCAUAAUAUCUAGUCUAAGAGAUAUGGUAGAAUCCCAUAAGGAUAUCCUAGAUAUGUUAGGAUUUACACAAUCACAUUCCUAAUCUAAUAGGACUGCAACCAUUGAAUGUGUAAAUACUCAAACAAAUGGCGCAUCAGGUCUUUAGCGAUGAAGUAAGUGCAGUUGAUGAAGUCAUUAGCACAAUGAGCGAAUAUGAGUCUCAAAACAAUGGAAGAUUGCAUAAAAGGUAAUACUCACAAAACCUCACUAGGGUAAAACCCAAGGUGGGAGAAAAACUCAUAGACUAAGGAGAAAAGUAAGAAGUUUCAUUAAGUCAAAACUAUACGCCUUCUAGACACAAAUAGAAAAGCUCACUGGGGUAUGAUCAGCUUAGGAUGGAUGCCUCGUCAAAACCUAGAUACGUAGCAAAAAUCCAAUGGGAAAAGUGUUCUUAAUCAUAGGGCAAAAUAGUACAUUAAGAUCAAGUAAGUAUACUUCUGGAUACUCCCCCUAAGUUUGGCAGAACUUCCAAACGAGAACUACAAGCAUUUGCAUAUGAAUAGUUAGGCAUACCAAUUCCUGAAACAAUCUUCUGGAAGGUUGACUUCGGCAGUGACCUCGUGUAGAGGCCGGCAAGGUUGUUUGGGAUCGGCUUGCAUGACUUCAAUCUCCUAAUGCUUUGCUGAAGUAGAUGUAGACGCAAUAUGUUUUGGAUGUAACUUCGUUGAUGUAUCAUGUCUUGGUUGGAACAUGCGGCAUAGUCUUCAUGUAUCGUCGUCGGGACUCAACAAUGGAUGAAAACAGCAAGUACUUCGAAUAUGCUAAACAAGAACUUCUGACCAUGUCUCACGUGUGGCGUAGUGAAGUAAGGUGAGUCUUGGAAUAAUUUGAAGAUUUCGCAACUAAGGUUAUAUCGUGGACCUCCAAGAUAAUGCAAUAUCCUUAACGGUAAAGACAUAACCAUUCAGGGAUUUACCUUGUGCCGGUUUCAUAAUUAACCUGCGUUAACAUAACAAACAAGGCUAGCAUCUUUCCGAGGAUUAGGGGGGUUAGAUCAUCUCGAGAUGCAUUGGGAUUAGCCCAAAUCCGAAGUACCUUUCAGGGUAGUUGAAAAACGUCUUUAAUACCAAUUCAGUGGUUGCGUGUAGUCGUGGUGCUACAUCUUUACCAACAGAUCAACAUAGAAUGAGAUGUCCUAUCUAAUACAAUGAGCUAAGUACAACGAAGUGCAAAAUUGAACUCAAAUAUGGAAUUUCAAAUUCCAAAACCUCUUCGAGGGUCUCAUGUGCAUAUAGUGUAUGAAAGAUCAUAGGUUUACUCAAACGCAACACCUUCAGGGUGUAAUUCGACUAGUAGACCAAAGUACUGUCAAAACAACACUUGAACUUACUUCAGGUCAAGGCAUAAACUAGUUUUCCCAAGAUCCUUAAUCUCAAAUUCUGUCUUCAGGUGCAAGACAGUUUUCUCAAACUCUUCUAGAGUCUUAGUGAGAUUCAUGUCAACUGUUGGAAAUGUGCCCUAAAACCAAUCAUAUGAUGAUACUUUACGGACAUUUCACAUGUCAAACUAAUCUAGUUUAAUAUCAAGGGCAAAGAUUAUUGUUUUAAGCCGUCUCAUAUAAAUGUUAUAUGCUUAAACGAUAAGUCCAAGGAAUAUGUAAUUAGGAGAAUGUAAUUUAAAGAAGUUAGAUUCAUGAGACCAUUCUCUUUCGUAUACAUAUCCUAAACGUUCCUAAUCAUAAGAUUGCCAAUUGGGCAUUGAUAGGAGCAUAUUUAUGCGACUUAGUUGGCUUGUUCUUGUGCAUUUAUGUCGUGUUUCCUUAGUUAUUUUAAUGUUUAAAGUCAUUUUCGUGUGUUUUCAGACUCUAAGUACAAAGUAUGCAAGAAGAUGCAUUUUGGAGGCCUUUGGAGCAUGUUUCGGGCUUGGAAUGGAUAGCAAAUGCAUGGGCCAAGUGGAUGGACGAAUUUGAGAACUAAAGAGGCCAAGAAUAUGAAGAAUUAUGGUCCAAAAGAUGAAGAAAAUAGCCCAAAAAUCUGUCACCCCAACUUGCAUUCCUUGCCAUGCAAACCACAUAGAAUUCCCUUUGGAUUCCAUGCCAUGCUUGAUCACUCUUGUCCCCUACAUAAUUUCUAAUUUCAUGCUUCAAUUCAUUUAAUUAUUACACUCAAUUGCAUUGCUUGAUACCUCUUGUUCCCUUCACUUAUUAGAUUUUAGACAACAUUUACAUCCAUUACAUGCACCAAUUGAUGCUCCAUCAUUCACAUUUGGAAUCCCAUGCCUUGUGUACCACAUGUUGCUGCACCUUUGACCCAUUUAUUGACACAUUUUCACCUCCAUUUCCAUCUCUAUGCAAUGUACACAAUCAUUCAUGCUCCCUAGCUUCAAGACCACUCCAUUUUACCCUUCACACUUUGCAUCAUCACUUCAUUUUAACCCUUGGACCAUUGCACACCACACACACAAAUUACCAUGCAUUUCAUCCUUAACCUAACCUGAUUUUCUAAGGUUUUUGGGGCCUAUAAAUACAUGUUUACACCCCUUGGCCAAAGAACAAUCCCCCAUAUUCAUCAUUUUAUCACAGAAAUUCGUCCAUACACACACCCUAGGAAGCAAAACACCCCCAAAAACACCAUUCUAGUGCCUAGAAAACAUAACAGCCACUCCACCUUCUUCCACCCUCUUUGCCUAGUUCUCCACCACCUUUCAACCAUCAAACACUCUUCCACACUCACCCUAAACCCCUCCAUAUCAUUCCCCAUCCAUUCUACACCAUAAAUCCACCCAAAAAUCUGUCCACAAGCUUCAUGCCGCAACAAGGAGGAAGGGAGAUCCAUUGAUGCACUUGCUUUCCAAGUUGGAGCAUUUUAGGUGUUUUCUUUCCUUUGAUUUUAAUGUCUAAUUUUAUGUAUCUUUGUAUUGCAAGAAUGAGGAACUAAACCCCCUUAGUUGGGGGGUGAUUCGAAACCAUGUACAUGCUUGCAAUAUGAUUUGAUUACAUUCAGUUGUUAUUUCAUAAGUUGCGGAUUCAAUUCGUUCAUCUACUUGAUUGAUAACUUAUUUGUGUAUGUUGAUUGAGAGUGCACGCUUAGUUUUCAUGCAUGAAUAUGAUGCUAGAUUAUGAGGGAGUUUCACCUAAUAGUUACAAUCUUAUAAUUACAAGUAGUGAAGGUCGCUUGAAAACGAUCGCGUUGAAUGAAUUCUUGGCACUAGUUUCAUGCUCAUCAUAGUAACGAAUGCCUCGUCAACACUUAUAGUUCUCAUUGUGCUUCAUGAUUCUUGAUUGUAUCUUUAUUGUGCUCAUCACGUAAGGAACCUUUGAGGAAUGCUUUGAAUUGUUGUAUGCGCUUUUCCAUCCAAUUCAUUAACUUAAGGAGAACUUGAAGGUUAAUUUAAGCGUAUCUAAUUAACUUGGGGUGUUGAGUUUCAUAAUUUAUUGAAAGAACAAUUGAAAAUCAUUUUGUUUGCAAGUGUGUCAUGUGUGGAGAAGAACCUCCUAACUAGCCUUUUAUCCAUCCUUCUCAUCCAAAAACGUUUUACAAUCUGUUUUGUUUUAAAGUUUCUGUUUUGUUUUCAAUUUUCGUCCAAAACAAAUCCCCCUUUAUUUUGAAGUCUUAGAUUAGUUAGAAAGUGUUUUGAUUUGUGUUUCUAAGUGUUUUGAUUCAAGUUUUCAUCCAACUUCGUCCAAGUUCUUGUUAGGUUCUCAAAACUGCCCAGAAAGUGGUUUUUAGGCAGUUUUGAGUCAUUAGGUUGCUGUUUUGAGUUUUAUGUUUGUUUAAGUAUUUUAAAGUAUAGUUUUGCAUUCUUUGAGUCUAGUUUAGUGUUUUAAAUUUUGUUUUUAUGUUUUUAAGUCAGUUUUCAAGUGUUUAGCAAUCCCUCCUAAUCCCCGGCCUAGAACGAUCCCUACUUACAUACUUUACUACAUUUGAUAAAAAGAGGGUUUAAAUUUGUGUGUUUAGUUAUUUUACGCAUCAAAUUUUGGCGCUGUUGCCGGGGAUUAGCAAAGUUGCUAAUCCCUUGUCUUGAGUCUUGUUUAAAUUGUUUAGUUUUUUUUAAUUUUAAUUUUUAUUUUAUUUUUAUUUUUAUUUUAUUUUUUUAUUUUAUUUUUUAUAAUUACCCUGUUUUGUUUACUUAUGAUAUUUGAUUUAGUUUUAUUUCUUUGAUAUCAGGUACUAAAAGAAGUAAGACAUGGCAAUUGCUAAUCUUCAAGCUCAAAUGGCAAUUCUUACUUCUCAAUUGUCACAGUACAUCGAAAGGACCACAAUACAAAGCACCCCUACAUUCGAUGUGUCCUAUACGCAAGGAUAUCAAGCAGAUCAACAUCCACAAAGGAGUUGGGAGAGUUAUCAUGAUCAUAAUCAAUCAAUGAACAACUUGUUUUCCAACACGUAUAAUUCAGAUUGGAGGGAUCAUUCAAACACUAUGUGGUGGGAACCUCAACCAGUUCAACACGAAGGAUAUUGGCAGCCAUAUAAUGAGUUCUAUUCAAGCCUUGCUCAGCCACCACAACCUCAUACACAAUAUACCCAACCAAACUCAGGUUCGUCAAUAAAUUAUGAACAAAUUCUUUGGCGCAGGGCUCACAAAAUCAAGCCAAGGAGGCUCAACAAGGAGAAUAUUGGCAGCCAUAUGAGGAGUUCUAUACAACGCCUAUGCAGCCACCACAACCUGCCCCGCAACAGUUCCAAUCAAAUUCAGGUUCGUCAAUAGAUUGUGCUCAAAUUCUUGAUGUACUAACUUCUUUGACGCAGGAAUCACAAAAUCAAGCCCAAGUGAUGAGCGAAUUGAAGAAUCAAAUGGGAGAGAUCGCGGAAUUCAUGGGGCAAAUGCAAGAACAAAGUGAAGUAACUGACUCAACUGUUGAAAUUAUUGAAGCUAUCAACUUGGAAAGUGGCAUAGAGGUUGGAGAUGAACCCAAGAUGUCCAAACCAAGCCAAAACAUGGAUGAACAGUUACUGCUCGAAGAAGAGGAGGAUAACAAGGCCAUGGCAAAGGAAGAACCACCAUUGCUGCAGCCUACCCUAGCCCCAACACCCUUGCCGCAGCCCCAUAUGCCCUCUAUGCAGUCCACUACAACCAAGGUAAGCCCAAAUUCAAUUCGUCCUGACCCCGUUCCACUAAAUGUCUUUAUUCCUUGCAGGAUCAUGCAAUCCAAGGAAGAAGAGGGUGAGAAAGGCAUCUUUGAAACCUUUCCAAAGAAUCAAGAGAAAGAAGUGGAUGGGGAAUGUCUAGAAUGCAUCAAAGAGGAUGUGCUUGAGACAACCAUUCCUAAAGAAGUUGAAUUUUAUGACAUGGGACAAGUCCCAACCAUCACAUUCAAUCUGGCCAAGUCCAAUAUCCCUGAAACUUUCAAAAAUGUGGUGUUUGUCAUUGAGUUCUUGUCGGACAAAGCAAGUAAGCCAUCUUCUCCAAUUUCGAUUUUAGUAUAUACUAACUUGUUGAUUUUGAUGAUUCAGGCACCUACACUAGAAUUUAAACCAUUGCCGGAUCACGUCAAGUAUCACCGUCCAUUCAAGGAUCAAUUCCAUGCUAUGGGCCCUAUCCAAGUUUAGAAGGAAGUAUCGUCCAGCUGCAAGACGUUAAAGAAAGCGCUUAUUGGGAGGCAACCCAUGUAUUCAAAAAAAGGAAGAUCUAUGAAUCACUCUACAAUCAGUUUUGCGUUUCUAAAAACCUUCACUUUUCUGCAUUUUUAUUUUGCCAUGAUUGUCAUUUUUUUAUUUUUGUUUGUUUAAUUAUUUUUGGUUAUGAUUUUCUAUUUUGAAAUAUUAACAAAUAUGCAAGGGAUUUUUGACAUUAAACUUCAUGAAAUGAACAGGAAUCUGGGAAAUAAAGAAACAUAACAUAAUACAAGAGGAAGAGCCUUCACAAAGGCUGAUUGGGAGAGGUCGCAGUAGUCGGCGGAGUUGCAGUAGUCGGCGGAGUCUCAGUAGUCGGUGGGGCCACGGAAGGAGGAGGUAUCAGAGGUUGAUCAGUUGGAGCUUCACUACGCGGUGCCGCCCCAGAAGACGAAGGCAGAUGCGGUUGGAACAAACCCACAAACCUCCGGUGAUCAAGUAAAAUCUGACCAUCAUUUUCCUGCAGCUGGUCAAUUUUCCUCUUCAUGUUUGUGGCAUAACUGUGUGCAAGCUUAUGUAAUUGUUUAUUUUCAUGCUUGAGUCCUCUAAUCUCCUCUUUGAGACUCUGUAUUUCAGCCACCAACGAUUCAACAUGACGGGUUCGAGCAAAUAGGCGUUGGGCCAUGUUGGACACAGAACCCGCACACUGCACGCUAAGAGCCAGAGACUCCUUAACCGCCAAUUCAUCAGACCGUCUAGCGAGCAGUCUGUUAUCUCUGGGGGUGACAAGGUUCCGGGCCACCACCGCAGCGGUCAUGUCAUUUUUCAUCACCGAAUCCCCAACGGUGAGGGGACCGGUAGGGGAUAUGAAGGAUGGGCGCCAUAUGUUGUCUGGUGAAGGCGGAGCUGCCUCUUCACCAAUGUUCAAGUCAAAACGACGAUCGGAAGGGCCAGACAUUUUCAGAGGUGGUGAAGAAAGAAGAGAGGAUGACUGAUCAAGAUUAAACAAGUGCAAGAAGGGAGUGUUUACAGGAGGGAGCUCAAGUGUGUUGUGGAACAAAAUUAACGCCUCUAUAAAAAGAAGAAAUCAAAGAGGCGCUCCUCAGAGAAGCGUCCUCUCGCAAAUCGAAGAGUCGGGGCUCAUUUCUCAAAAGUCGGAUUCUUUUCUCAAAAGAGGCGUUUCAUUUCUUAAAGGCUGGGCUUGCUCAGAAACCACGAGCCGAACACCGAAUUUCAAAAGAUCAAAUUGUCCAGACGUGUCGUCACUCGUCACAUGCAACUGGCAGCUUUGCGGAAAUUACGGGCAGCUUUGUCAGAAAGCGCGUAAUUUGUACUAUUCAUCCAUCCACCGGCUGCCGACAAUGAGUGAGGGAAUAGUUCCGGUUGUGAAGAAAAGUCCUAUAAGUAUCUACCUUCGCCUUCCACAGCAAAGGCACACCCUCUCAGCACUUCUUCAUCUCCGAGAAUGUAUUUCCAACACACCCUCUCAAGUCACACUGUAUUUCUCAUUCCCUGGGAUACCCCUGCAAACAACCCAUCCAGAGCAAAAGUAUUUCAUAUCAUAAAGGUUGAAAGCAAGAGAGUAUCUCAUAUCAUGCAUUCUCCAUGUCCUUUUCCUUGUCUUUGUUCUAACCUGCAGGACAUGGAGAAAUUGCUCUCGAGUACUCGUCUUCCACUGCUGAUGUACUUCCAAAGAAGCUGCCACAUCUACCUGAAGAACAGAUAAGGCAAGCGAAAAUGAUACCAGCAGCAUGUGGAGACAACGUACAGAAGAAACAAGCAGAGAAGAAUGCAGCUCGUACAAUCAACCCAGCACAAGGAGUCCGAGCUGAAGAACUAGAGAAGCUGCCACAUCUGCUUGGAGAACAAAUAAGGAACUGCAACAUCACCCCGUUCAAGAUCAAAGCUGUGGAAAGUCAACAAGAUCAACUAUCUCCAAAACCAGAUUUGCGUUCUUAAACUCUACUCUGUCUGGUUUUUACUUUGCCAUAUUUGUCAUGUUUAUUUGUCGUUUAUUAUUUGCUUGUUUUUGGUGUGAGUAUAUGCUUGAAACAUUGAGGACAAUGUUUUGAUUUAAGUGUGGGGGGGUAACCAUUGUUUUGCAUGAAAUUCGUAGAAAUUUAUCACCCAUUACUUCUAGUGUUGUUCCUUGUUGUUUUAAGUAUUUUUUUUAAGCUGUUUUGGAGUGUUUCAGUGUGUUUUGACAUAAAAAAUCCGAAAAUUCAUAAAAAUUUGAAAAAAUUGUUUUUGAAAAUCCAAAAAAAAGAGUUGUUUUUGUGCGCUUAUUUGUGUCUUAGGGUACCUUCCAACACAAUGAUGAGGAUUCGGUUUGUAAUUGCAUGACUGUUAAAGAGAGUUAUAAACAUGGAUGAAAGUUUGAUUUACUCUUUAUUUAUGCGUGGUUGUGGUUAUAACUUAUGAAAUCACAUGUAAUCAUAAAAGAAAAAAAUUAGUUUUUGUAACAUGCUUGAAGGAAAGAACUCAAACUAACGCUACAACCUUGUGAGACUUGAGCUUAAACGUUUAUUUGGAGAGUUAAAAUCUGUGCAUUCUUAUUUUCUAAAGUCGUUGCAUGAUCUCAUUAUUCUUUGCUUGGCUAUUACUUAGAAGGAGUUUCAUCAUUUAGUUCCAAAUGCUAGAACUCAUGCCUAUUUCAUUCAAAGCAUGCUAUUGAUUUGCAUAACACAUAUUCAAGAUGAAGUUGUGUAGUUACCACCACCAAAGCCAAACUGCCAUGUAUCCCAUAUCGUUAUAUGUUUAAGUUAACCCCAUUGAGCCUUGAUAGCCUACAUUCUUUGUUAAACCACAUUAUCCUUACCUAUCCUAGUUUAGGACCAUCCACCCUUGUUAUUGAAGCAUAGUGAAGUAUGAGUCAAAUUGAAUUCCUUUUGAUUAAUGUAUGGCAGAAAACAAGUGUGGGGGAAGUGAUUCUUGUGUGUGUGUGUUUGCCAAAAUCAUUCAUAAGGCAAGAGUAGAAAAGAAAGAUUCGUGAAAAAUAGAAUGAAAAGAAGAAGAGCUGUGAAAAGAAAAAGAGUUGAAAAAUAUGUGAAAAAGAGUUUUAAAGUGUUGCUUGUUGAAGAAAGGGUCCAAAACAUUGAAUUCGGCCCUAAAUAUUGCUUGAAUCUUCCCUUCGUGUUUAAAAGUUGAUUACUGCAAUCUAAGUGAAUUCUAAGUUUCAAUUUCUUUACUUUACUUGCUAUUGCUUUACGAACGAUUGUUAUCCUUAUCCUUCAUUUGUUAGCCAUCACCCCAAGCCCCGUUACAACCCUUAACUUCAUCUUGAGUGUCAUGCGUUUCAAUAUGUGGAGUUUGAAUUUGGUAUGAGCAUAUGGUGUCACUGGUUCUCGCAUCUAAGUAGUAGCAUUCCAUUCAUGAGAUCAUAUCUAAACAUGCUUAUUAACUCCAGAAAUUGCUUUCUUUGUGAUACAUAUAUGUGAGCGUUCGUUUUCAUAUCUACAUCAAUCUUCUCACAUAUAACUAGUAUAAGGUGUGUAGUUAGAAAAUCUGAGUGAAAAUUGAGUGCAUAUCUUGUAAGGAAUUGAGUGAUUUCUCUAAGGCAUGUUACUACAUCAAAAACGUUAUUUUAAUCGAUUAAUUGUGAACAAGUAAGUGGUGACUAUGAUUAAGUACGUGCUUAAGUGUGAAGAUGACUCAAAUCUGUGGGGAUAAUGAUUUUUAACAUGUCAUGUGCAUUGGAAAUCCCUGAGGCAAAUGUUGGAAGGUUUAGGUUGUGUUUUAUUUGUUUUGUUUUUCGUUUUAUCUCUUUGUUUUGCUCGAGGACUAGCAAAAGCUAAGUGUGGGGGAAUUUGAUAGGAGCAUAUUUAUGCGACUUAGUUGGCUUGUUCUUGUGCAUUUAUGUCGUGUUUCCUUAGUUAUUUUAAUGUUUAAAGUCAUUUUCGUGUGUUUUCAGACUCUAAGUACAAAGUAUGCAAGAAGAUGCAUUUUGGAGGCCUUUGGAGCAUGUUUCGGGCUUGGAAUGGAUAGCAAAUGCAUGGGCCAAGUGGAUGGACGAAUUUGAGAACUAAAGAGGCCAAGAAUAUGAAGAAUUAUGGUCCAAAAGAUGAAGAAAAUAGCCCAAAAAUCUGUCACCCCAACUUGCAUUCCUUGCCAUGCAAACCACAUAGAAUUCCCUUUGGAUUCCAUGCCAUGCUUGAUCACUCUUGUCCCCUACAUAAUUUCUAAUUUCAUGCUUCAAUUCAUUUAAUUAUUACACUCAAUUGCUUGAUACCUCUUGUUCCCUUCACUUAUUAGAUUUUAGACAACAUUUACAUCCAUUACAUGCACCAAUUGAUGCUCCAUCAUUCACAUUUGGAAUCCCAUGCCUUGUGUACCACAUGUUGCUGCACCUUUGACCCAUUUAUUGACACAUUUUCACCUCCAUUUCCAUCUCUAUGCAAUGUACACAAUCAUUCAUGCUCCCUAGCUUCAAGACCACUCCAUUUUACCCUUCACACUUUGCAUCAUCACUUCAUUUUAACCCUUGGACCAUUGCACACCACACACACAAAUUACCAUGCAUUUCAUCCUUAACCUAACCUGAUUUUCUAAGGUUUUUGGGGCCUAUAAAUACAUGUUUACACCCCUUGGCCAAAGAACAAUCCCCCAUAUUCAUCAUUUUAUCACAGAAAUUCGUCCAUACACACCCUAGGAAGCAAAACACCCCAAAAACACCAUUCUAGUGCCUAGAAAACAUAACAGCCACUCCACCUUCUUCCACCCUCUUUGCCUAGUUCUCCACCACCUUUCAACCAUCAAACACUCUUCCACACUCACCCUAAACCCCUCCAUAUCAUUCCCCAUCCAUUCUACACCAUAAAUCCACCCAAAAAUCUGUCCACAAGCUUCAUGCCGCAACAAGGAGGAAGGGAGAUCCAUUGAUGCACUUGCUUUCCAAGUUGGAGCAUUUUAGGUGUUUUCUUUCCUUUGAUUUUAAUGUCUAAUUUUAUGUAUCUUUGUAUUGCAAGAAUGAGGAACUAAACCCCCUUAGUUGGGGGGUGAUUCGAAACCAUGUACAUGCUUGCAAUAUGAUUUGAUUACAUUCAGUUGUUAUUUCAUAAGUUGCGGAUUCAAUUCGUUCAUCUACUUGAUUGAUAACUUAUUUGUGUAUGUUGAUUGAGAGUGCACGCUUAGUUUUCAUGCAUGAAUAUGAUGCUAGAUUAUGAGGGAGUUUCACCUAAUAGUUACAAUCUUAUAAUUACAAGUAGUGAAGGUCGCUUGAAAACGAUCGCGUUGAAUGAAUUCUUGGCACUAGUUUCAUGCUCAUCAUAGUAACGAAUGCCUCGUCAACACUUAUAGUUCUCAUUGUGCUUCAUGAUUCUUGAUUGUAUCUUUAUUGUGCUCAUCACGUAAGGAACCUUUGAGGAAUGCUUUGAAUUGUUGUAUGCGCUUUUCCAUCCAAUUCAUUAACUUAAGGAGAACUUGAAGGUUAAUUUAAGCGUAUCUAAUUAACUUGGGGUGUUGAGUUUCAUAAUUUAUUGAAAGAACAAUUGAAAAUCAUUUUGUUUGCAAGUGUGUCAUGUGUGGAGAAGAAACCUCCUAACUAGCCUUUUUAUCCAUCCUUCUCAUCCAAAAACGUUUUACAAUCUGUUUUGUUUUUUAAAGUUUCUGUUUUGUUUUCAAUUUUCGUCCAAAACAAAUCCCCCUUUAUUUUGAAGUCUUAGAUUAGUUAGAAAGUGUGUUUUGAUUUGUGUUUCUAAGUGUUUUGAUUCAAGUUUUCAUCCAACUUCGUCCAAGUUCUUGUUAGGUUCUCAAAACUGCCCAGAAAGUGGUUUUUAGGCAGUUUUGAGUCAUUAGGUUGCUGUUUUGAGUUUUAUGUUUGUUUAAGUAUUUUAAAGUAUAGUUUUGCAUUCUUUGAGUCUAGUUUAGUGUUUUAAAUUUUGUUUUUAUGUUUUUAAGUCAGUUUUCAAGUGUUUAGCAAUCCCUCCUAAUCCCCGGCCUAGAACGAUCCCUACUUACAUACUUUACUACAUUUGAUAAAAAGAGGGUUUAAAUUUGUGUGUUUAGUUAUUUUACGCAUCAGGCAUUGACAGUUCGUUAAGAUCAGUACGUGCUGUGUCUUCUCUCAGGGAGAGUGACUGGUCUCGAGUCAUUGGUGUGAUUGACACCAAGACAAGCAUGUAAGUGCUCAAUAGAGAAUCAGUCCACUGAACACGAUCAACAAGGAGUUCUCAUACUCAUGUCACAUGAGAACUCCUGGUUGGGAUAAUGCAAAGUAGUCAUUUGACCUGAGGCAUCAUAGUUGUCUUGUGGUUAGGUCCUUGAUCUUUGACUAUGUCAAAGUCACUCUGUCAGAGGGUGUCCACGGCAUAGUUAGGGUUAAGCCACUUAGUCAUGGAGGCAAGUGAAUGCGCAACAAGGGAUCUCUAACCUUCAAACCGUUUGAGGGAGAAUACCCUAUGAUAUGAUUAAGAAUCUUUGGCCAGAGUAUGAAUGAAAUUUAGGAAGUCGUUCCAAAUCACAUUCAAGGUAAUCAUAUAAGUAAGAGAAUCACAUUGGAUAGUAGAUAUGAAUAAACUAUCAAACCAAACAAUGUGGUCAAGAGUAUUCUAUUAGAGAAAGACCGUAUUGCAUUGUAAUCAUAAACUGAAUAGGUUCUCCACCUCUUCUGAUUAGCUUGGGUAACCAUGAUAUACUGCUAGGUGUCACUCAUGGUUUGUGGAAGCCCUAAACGUGUAUAAUCACUAAAGGGAGAAUUGAAAGUAAGUUUCAAUUCACAAUCGAUUUGAAAGAGUUAUAAUCGCCCACUGCCUCGCUAAAAGGAACCUAAUGGAUCGUACACCGUGUAAGGUAGAGAUUGAAAAAACAACAGAGAUGAGUAAGGAUAAUUAAAUGGUUUAAUUAUUUGUGGCAAGGAUUAAUUAAUAUGUUAAUUAAUCAAACGAAUAAAGUUCGUUAAGGACCUCGGGUUAGUUUUGGGCCUCAAGGCCCAAUGGGCUUCGAACGUCAAGCCCAUUGACUUAAGUUGUAUGACAACUUAAUGACUAAAUAUUCACAAAGGCCCAAACAGCCCAAUAACACACUAUGGCCGACCAUAUUGAUGAAGGAGUGGGUUUUGGGCUUAUUACAAGUUUGCCACUCCAAUGAAGGUAGGUAUAAAUAUGACUUUAUAGCCUUUUCUUCAUUAGGGUUUCUUUUAUAGAAAAGAUGAGAACACAAUGUCUCUUCCUUUCUCUCUAAGAGGCUGGCCCCCUUGGAGAAGAUUAGCUAGCAAUCUCUCAUCCUCCAAGGUCACUCAUCUCUUCUUCAAGUCCUUCCUUGGUGUGGAAAAAUUAGAGGUUCUCAAUUUUGGGAACUUGGAGAAUCCUUUCAACCAUCCCCAUCCAAGAAAUCCCAUGGAUCUAAGAAGCAAGGAAUGAGGGCCCUCUCCUUGGGUGAUUAGCCUUUGCUUAUGCAAAGAGGAAUCAACAAAGGUAUAAAAUCUCUCAACUCACUUUGUUCUUGAGUUGAGUCUUGGUUCACCUUUCUACUAGGCUUUGAAUUUCAUGGGUAAUGUUUUGUUUUGAGUGCAUACAAGCAUGAUUCUGCCUUUAAAUGUUAAUUGCAUGCCAUAGAUGUUGCUCACAUGAACAUGUUUUUCACAAAAUUUCCUUCAAAUGGUAUCAAGAGCCUAGGUCUAGUAGUUGGUGAAUCCUUUUGGGUUUUGUAGUUCAUAGUCUUUGAUUUGAAUGUUGUAAUUGUUACAAGCUUUAUUCUUGCUUCUUUGAAUGUAAAUUUUGUAGAAAAUUUGCCAUCUCAAAUGUUGUAGAUGUAGUUCAUAUGAGCAUGAAUUUUGGAGCUAAAAUUUGGUGCCAUGUUUUUGGGGAAAUUCGGCCAAAUCCAAAGGGUGGUUUUUUGGGUUCUUGUUUGUCUUGUUAAAAGUGUUUUAAGGUGACUUUUGGAACCCCUAAGUACCCUAGGAUGUUAACCCCCUUUUGAGUAGUGAAAUUUUGAAUUUUAUUGAGUGAAAACAUUCAUGGAGCUCUUAUGAGUUUUCAUGUGUGUUCUUCAAUGUUCUUGAUGUUCUUACCAAGAACAAAAAGUUUUGGUGUUUUGAUUCAAUAUGUUUGCUGCUUUGAAUAAAGUUUUGGUUUAUUAUUGACUGGUGAUGGAUGAUUUAUGCCUUUAUUGUUUGACAAAACAUUUUUCUUACAACCCAUCCCAAUCAACUUUUCCUCACCUACCUAUCCACUUGCACAAAACACUUUCAAUUUUGAAUUUUUCACCAAAACCUUUUCCCCCUCCUUUUUCACUCUCACCAACCGGCCACCCUAUUAAAAUAGGGUACUUUUGGGGCUUUUAUGCAAUUACAUAAAGUUUGGAUACUUUUGUGUAUUUGUACUUUGACCCAAAAGUUUACGUUUUUACGUAAAGGCCCAAAAACACUAAAGGACAAAUUGUUUUGCUCCUUUAAUGAAGUUUUUGUAUUUGAUGAAAUUUUUGGGUUCUAGUUGUAAUUACAUGAAGUAGUGGACUUUUGUGUUCUUAUAAAGUGACCUCAAAAGUUUGUGUUUUGCAACAUAGCCCAAAAAGUUGUGCUUAUUGCAUUUGGCCCAAAUUAGUUGAGAACAAAAUAGUUUUGUAUCUUUAAAUGAGAAUUGGAUUUUCAUUUCAUUUAGCUCCAUUUAAAUCAAUUCUAUGGAAACAAAAACCAAAUGAAAAUGUUGCAUUCAAGUUUAAUUAGUUAAAGCGUUAAUUAAUUAAAGAAAUGGCGAUUAUGAACCUAAGCCUAUGAUAAUUGAGCUAUGUGAAAGGCCGUCUCAAAUUUGUUUGAACCAUGGGAAUGUGUAGAUUAGAUUUUGGUUGUAAUUUGAUAUGAUCAAAUGUUGUAAAAGAGCAUAAGCUCUUAUUUACUUUAAAGUAUUUUGUUUUGAUCAAAUGUUGUAAAAGAGCAUAAGCUCUUCUUUACUUUGAAGUACUCCUUUCUUGUUUUAUUUGAUAUGCAUGAAAUUGGAGUAGUUGGGUCCAACGCCCAAUAGGAAAAACACGCCUUAAUAUGAUUAAACGCAUAACUAAAAUCAAUCACUAUCCCUAGACCGAGAUUCAACACUAGGCUCGUGUUGGAUCUAAUCAAAGGUUCAUAGUCAUCCUAAGGCCCUAAGGCAACUAUAUAAUCCAUCAAUGAAUGCAAACCUUAUGUUAGUAGUACCAUAUACUCUUGCUUUAAAAACCGUUUUACAAGCAUAGUGGGAGUAUCAUAUACUACUAAAUCAAUCAUAUGGACCAAUAGUUGUAAUAGGACCAAAUUGUUUUAAUAAGAUUAAAAUGUAUGUUUAUAUGUGAUGAGACCUAAAACCCUCAACCAAAUCAUUAUAAGUUGAUAAGCGUGAGAGUGCUUUGAACACUCUUUCGUGGCCUUCCACCGUGGUAGGCUCCAAUCGUUUAUGACUCGUACACCGACUUCACCCUAUCAUGGGGGAGUACAAAGUGCGUGCUUACACUUAGGAGGAGUUCUAUAUGCAUACAUGAUGGUGUGAAGGUAGGCAACGAGAAUGACCAACAUCAUAUCAUUGUGAGGUUGUUCUUGAACCCCUACUCGAACUUGCAUGUUGGGAAUGACUUAACUAAGUGCAAUGGAGCCAACAUCAUAUCAUUGUGAGGCUUCAUUCUCUAUAGGCCAAAUAAGAUGGGUACUUGCAAGAGAUGCAAAUGAGUAAGCGUACUCUCUCAUUAUUAUUGAUGCUAGCCAACAUCAUAUCAUUGUGAGGUGGGCUUGGUAAUGAUGAGUCUCCCAUACCCUACUAAGAGUUUCCUCCAAAACUCUCGAAGUCCGAUGAGGGAUAUGGAAUUUGCCAAAAAUAGUGGGUGGUGCUAUUUGAUUUAAAGACCCGGAUCAAAUGGCUUAAAAUCAAUUUAUAUUCGUUAUGUAUUUGUUUACCAAUAUAUUUGCAAACACUAUCCAAAAACUUGACAAAGAAAAGCUGAAAGCUUUAGUUUCCGGACUUGGUACUACAAUCCCAUAGAUUGUCUAUAAUGGCUUGUAUAUGUACCUAAGUAAUCUCAUCCUCACAAUCUUCCUAUUGAUAAUGUAUCAUUGGAAGAACAUGUUAGAUAAGUCUAUCAUAAAGAGGACAACACUUUAAUGUCAUAAAUCUUCAAUUACAAAUUGUUGUAUGAAGAAAUAAGAGUUUCUUUGAACAACCCUUAGCUAACGCAUACAUUAGUGCUCGUUUCUUUGUUACAUGAACAAGGAACUUAAGAAGUAAGCACAAGGACAUGGACACUUUGUGUGCCAUGAUUCUUCACUUACAAAUUGUUGUAUGAAGAAAUGAGAGUUGCCUUGAACAACUCUUGAAAGUUUGUAAUUAUGUUUAGAACAUAAUGGUUGGUUGACAAAAAUAGUCCAUCAACAUGGACUUAUGAUGAUUUUGAAUCAUUGAGUGAUUGAAGUGUUAAACCACUUCUAGAGACGGAAACUAGGCAAGAACUUCACCUUUGUAUCCCUAUCCAAAUGGUUCACUAAGUUUAUUGUAAACUAUAUAGUGAACAAUAACCACACGCUCUCCAAAUCGUUUGAUGUGUAUAACACAAUUGAAAUAAGUUUCAAGAGAGAUAGUGGGAGUUUAGGGACCAUGACUAUUGUAGUCAAAGGAGAAGUCAAAUGAAGAAGGGGAAAUAACUCCAAGGGUUUGAAUUUCAUGGGUAAUGUUUUGUUUUGAGUGCAUACAAGCAUGAUUCCGCCUUUAAAUGUUAAUUGCAUGCCAUCGAUGUUGUUCAAAUGAACAUGUUUUUCACAAAAUUUCCUUCAUCAACGACAUAAACUAUAACUCUAACAAUUCAGAAUAAGACUUCAUAGUUUACCACGCUAGGGCAUAAUUCAUAUCCUUGACUGUUCAAAUAAUCACUUUGACAGGAAUACCACAUUCGUUGGAUUGCUUUAAUCGAUAAAGUGAACGCCUCAAAUGAGUUGAGAGGGUGGUUCGUGGUUUGGAAAUAUUUGAACCAAUCCAUGUAAUUCUUCGGGAACUUACAUGUAAAUUCCCGUAUCAAUAUCUCCAUAGAGAAAACAUUAACCACAUUUCAUAAAGCUGUUAUAACGACCUGUUUCCAAAAUUUCAUUUAAUUAGUUAAAAUUACGAAAAUACCCUUAAUGACGGAAAGGUUGACCUUCUUUGACUUUUGUCCCUUGAUGUAUUAAAUUUUUUUGUUUAUUUUAUUUUCAUAGUUCUCGUUGAUACGAACGCGUAGGCUUGAUCAUAAUCGAAUUCGGAGCUAAAACGAAGCUUCUACGAUUGAACGACAAAGGCAUUUCAGUAAUUUCACAAGUGAAGAUAUUUCUCCCCUUUGGACCUUUACAUGGUUGACACAUGGCGUUCCUUUCCCCCUUUUUCUGAUACUUUUUUCCUCCCCCUCCCGUGAACUCUCUCUCACUCUAGAAUACUCCUCUCUCUUUCCCUCGUCUCUCUCGUCUCUCUCGUCUUUACUCUCUUCUCUCAUUUCCGGUGAACUCACACACACACCUACAUACAUACACAUAGACCACCACCAUCACAAACACACCAUUCUCACCACCUGACACUCCCUUUUCUCCCUCACCACCCCGAUCUCACUCUCUCUCAUUCUUGGCACUAUGCACAAUCAUUGUGCACGUGAUUUUCCUACGAGGUAAGUCAAUCUCACCCUUAAAUAUUCCUAGAUCAGGCUUAGUAAGGUGAUUAAGUAGUUUUUGAGACAUUUGGGGAUGGUUUUGGACAUAAAAUACUCGAAGGAAACAUUUCCUAGUUUUUCCUGCGAGUACUAUGGGUUUGCAGAGGAUUUCAAACCAAUGUCGACGAUAAAUCGGCCCCAUUUUGGUACGAACUCGUUCCCCAUGUUUCUAGCUUUAUUUUGGAUUUUAAAUCAUUGUUUUUGGUUGAGUUCUGACCUCAAAACGAAGUUGAGAAAAUUCUCGGCCAAAUUUCGGCCUUCUUCUUCGCUAGGUCCGGUGACCUACUAUUUUAACAAGCCAGACCCAGCCUGAAGCAGCCCGACCCAAUCUUAUUCGGCCCAAACCCAACUCCAUAACCAACCCAUCCACCUAUUAGCCCAGGCCCAAUCCUUUGGGCCUAAACUAAAGCCCAAAACCCAAAUUGAGAAUCGGCCCAAUCCAGAAACCCAGUCCACCUUCGCAUGUGGUCACCAGUGCAUGGAGCACAUGCACCUCUGUCGGAGGUACUAUGCUCUGUCACCAUCCACGGUGGCAUCGACGACUUUUCUGGCGACCCAACUCGGAUCAUGGUCUUUCGGGCCCUCGCCCUAUGGUGAUGCGUGGAGUGGCGUGUAGGGGAACCCAAGGUCUUUCUUUGGGUUUUUUGAUGUGCCGAAUCUGAAUCUACUAUCCAUUUUCCUAAAAAAUUCCACCAUUUUAGUAGAGUUUUAUUAAAUGGUCUUCAUUUACGUUUAGGUGCAUCGGUUGGAAGUGAUCCAAUCCACCCUACUUGUGAGUGGACCCCUUCUUCAAUUGCAUGUUUUAUAAAUUAUUAGGCUUGCAUGCAUUUUAUAUCUUAUGAGUUGAAUAUGUUUUUCUAUUAUGUUUUAUGAAUUUAUAUACUUAUGAUUGAUUUGAAUUGCUUUUAUGAAGUAUUUAUGAUUUAUCGAAAUUACGUUUUACUAAAUGAUAUAAACUAUUGGAUUCUUGUAUAUGAAUUUUUUUGGCUUUUGAACAUGAUUUAUUUUUAUGGAUUUAUGAUUGUGCGAUAUAUGGAUUUAUGAAACGAGACUUGAGCUUUUGACCUUUGGAUUUGGAUAUGAGUUUUAAGGUAUGUUUUCGGUGCUUAUCUAGCGGGUUAUCAUACACCACAUCCACACAACACAAGUAUGCAGAUGUCUUUGGCCAUAGGACACACUGAAGGAGAUUUAUGUAUAUACCUUGUUGAUGCACAAAACCGGAGGUCUUGGAACAACGUAAAUCCGACCAUGAAUCUACAUGGAAUGUAAAUAACACAAGAUGUAUCGUGGUUCACCCCAAGGUUUGGGCUACGUCCACACUGAUUAUGUAUUUAUCUGAGGGAAAGAGAGCUCUAAGAGUGAGAGCUUUGAGAGGGAGUAGAGGGCCUAGGAAUUGGCCUCCCCUAAUUGUGAGGGUGAGGGGUCCUUUUAUAGAAUAAGGACUCCUCACUUAUUACAUAUUUGCCCCUUCCUUUAUGAUGUGAAAAUUAACUUGACACACAAAUUAAACCCUAUGGAUGACAAUUGUAGUAUAUGAGCAAAUAGGGAUCGUUCUAACCGGGGAUUAACUAGGGAUACUAAUCAAUGUAAAACUGACUCAAGAACAUAAAAAUAUAAUGUAGAACACUAAACUAGACUCAAUUAAUGCAAAACUAGGGUUUAAACACCUAAACAAACUAAAAACUCAAAACAGCAACUAAAAGGCUCAAAACUGCCUUUAAACCACUUUCUGGGCAGUUUUGAGUACCUAACACUAGUUUGGACGAAUUUGGACUAUGAUUUGACUCAAAACACUUAAAAACACAACUAAAUGGAUUUCUAACUAAUCUAACACUUUAAAAUAAAUGGGGGAAUGAUUUUGACGAAAUUAAAACUUUAAAACUCAGACUUUAAAAACAAAUGUAAAGCAGCACAGAUUGUGAUUAAAUAGAAUGGUGAGAAGCUAGUUAGAGGGUUCCUUAUCCACACAUGAACAUAUGCAUACAACUCGAUCUCCAAUUACUCUUUCAACAAACCAUGAAUGACAAUGCCCCAAAUUAACUAGAUUGCACCAAUUAAUUCUCAGAUUUCCCUAGAUUCAUUGAAUUGAAUGGAAUACGCAUUACAACCAAAUUAUUCUUAUCAAGGACCCUAACUAUGGAAUACGCAUGAUAGAGACACAUAUCAAAGAUCAUUAAGUUUAAUGGAAAUCAUAAGCAUUGACGAGGCAUUCAUAACUAUGGGAUACGCAUGUUAUUCUUGCCUAGGAUUUACUUAACGCAAUCGUGACUAGCGACUUUCACUACUUAUGAAUAUAAGUUAAUAACGAUUAGGUGAAAUUCCCUUAUAUCCUAGCAUCAAGUUUAGGCAUGCAAUUUAAGUGUCGACCCUCAACCCACAUACAUAAACAAGUUAUCAAUCAAAUAGAUAAGUAAAUCACAUUCACAAUUUCUGAAAUCAUAAUUGGAAGAAAUCAAAUCAUAUAAAACAUAUGUCCAUGGCUUCAAAUUCACCUCUAACUAAAAAGAAAUUAGUUCCACAUGUCUAACAUAAUUGAGCAACAAUUUAAAUUAAACAUGAAAACAGAAAUAAAGGAAGAAAGAACUCCAAACACUCCACUAAUGGCAGAUUGCAUGUGCAAGGUGUCGUCCUCCUUUGGAAUGCACGGCACUACUUCUUCCUCCUCCAAUGGUGGCUGCACAAGGUGGUGAUGGUGGUGGGAGGGCACGGCAAGGGUUGGGGAUGGUGUAUGGGUGUUGUGUGGAAGGUGUGGAGAUGAAGAAUGGUGGUAGAAAUCGGCUGGAAUGAAGGAAAGGUGCGGCAAGAUGGGAAAUAGGGUUUUGGACGAAUUUCUGAAUAUGGAGAGGGUGGUCUUCGGCCAAGGGAGGUAAAACACAUAUAUAUAGGCAGCCAAACCCUAAAGAAAUCAGGUUAGACAAAUGGGCUAGGGUUUAGGUGCGGCUAGGGUUAGGAAAUCCACCAAAAACUAGGGUUUCUAGAACAUUAGGUGCGGCAUGGGCUUAGGGUAAGUAAUCAGAUUUUUUUCAUGUGAACAAGGCCUAGGUGCGGCUGAUUAAGUGGGCUAGGGUUAGGGUUAGGUGCGGCAUAGGUCCAAGAGGCAAAGAUGGGUCAUCCAAAAGCCCAAAGCCGAGAAUAGAAACUCUCGAAAUUGGAAACCUCCAAGAAUAGAAACUUCCAACUUUAGAAACUUUGGUUUCCAAUUCCGAAUUCUUAGUUCAUCACUUUCAUUUCUUCAUUCUUAAGCUUCUUUGACCUUCAAACUCGUCCAUUCUUCGUGCUCCAUUUGCAUACACCACAUUCCAGCUCACUUUUUGCUCCAAAAGCUCCAAAUUGCAUCAUUUCGUGUAAUAUGUCCUUUAACCCUGAAAACACAUGAAAGUAGCUUAAAAGACUACUUUGACGAAGAAAACAUAACAACAAUGCAUAAGAACUAGCUAACUAAGGCGCAUAAAUAUGCUCCUAUCACUUUAUUACAUAAUUACAUUUAAGUUCCCCGAGUAUUUAUACGAGGUCUAAAUACGAGGCCCUAAAUAUGGUAUAAACAGUAGUCCCCCAAGUCUUCAGUCAAGAGAGUCUUUUGGCUGGAGACUUGAAAUUCAGUCCAUGUGUAGGCCGAAGUAACUAGAUGUUGUCUUGAACUGAUGUUCGAUAUGAGGCAGUGCUCAAUCUGAAAUGAUGCUCAACUAGAAGUAGCACAUGCUGGGAGGCUGCUCGGCUUGUGGCUUAUGUUGUCUUGGUUGGCUCGGCUUGUGGCGUUUGACAGUGAGGGAGUCCCUUUUAUAAAAUAAGGGCUCGCUCCUCAUUACAUGAAUGAUGGGCUAGAGUUGAUGCUCUCUAAUGAUGGUGAAGGAGUCCCUUUUAUAAAAUAAAGGCUCGUUCCUCAGUACAUAAAUAAUGGGUUAGGACUGAUGCUCGUGGCGAGGCGGUUGCUCGGUUGGCGACGAUACUCUCUACCGAAGGUGGGGGAGUCCCUUUUGUAGAAUAAGAGCUCGUUCCUUAAUACAUAAAUAUGGGCUAGAGUUGAUGCUCGUGGCCAGGCAGUUGCUCAGUAUGCGGCGAUGCUCUCUAAUGAUGGUAAGGGAGUCCCUUUUAUAAAAUAAGAGCUCGUUCCUGAAUACAUAAAUACGGGCUAGAGUUGAUGCUCUCUAAUGAAAGUAAGGGAGUCCCUUUUAUAGAAUAAGAGCUCGCUCCUCAGUACAUAGAUAAUCGGCUAAGUCCCCCAAGUAUUUUCAUGAGGCCUAGUUGAGGCCCAAUAUAUGGUACAUAAUGUAGUCCCCCAAGUCUUCGGCCAAUAGAGUCUGUUGGCUGGAGACUUCAAAUUGAAUCCAUGUAUGGGCCGAAGUGGCGGUUGUUCGGAGGCGGUAUUUGUAUACCCUGCACUGAAGCUUUGUAGGUAAAGCUUUGCAAGUGAAGCUUUGAAGUUAGAGCUCUGUAAAUGAAGCUUUCGAAGCUGGAGCUCUGUAAAUGAAGCUUUUGAAGCUGAAGCUUUUGUAAAUGAAGCUUUUGAAGCUGAUUGACAUGAGUGAUGCUCAUGAAUGUUUAUGUUUAUUGACAUGAGUGAUGCUCAUGAAUGUUUAUGUAUGAUUAGAUGAGUGAUGCUCAUGAAUGUUUAUAUAUGAUUGACAUGAUAAUGCUCAUGAAUGUUUAUGUAUGAUUGACAUGAGUAAUGCUCAUGUAUGAUUUGAAGUAUUGGGCGUACUUUUGAUCACCUGGUUAGUGGCAUGAAGGAGAGUACAGGUUGUACAUUUCAUCACCUGGUUGGUGGCAUGAAUGGCUAGUUGCCAAAUGAUAUUAGAGUACGGGUUGUACAUUUCAUCACCUGGUUGGUGGUAAUAGUGGCAGGUUGCCGAAUAAUUUUGGAGUACUGGGCGUACUUUUGAUCACCGGGUUGGUGCUAAUAGCGGCAGGUUGCCGAAUAAUUUUUGGAGUACUGGGUGUACUUUUGGUCACCUGGUUGGUGAUAAUAGAGGGCCUGGGUCUUUUAGGGAUAUGGGCCUUCGCUCUCCACACAACAUUCCAGCCCAUUUAUUUUGGGCUUUGCCGUUUUUUUUUAUAAUUAUUAUUACCCUCUAAUGGGGUUUAUACAGAUGUCUCCGAAAGAUAAGAAAAAUAAAUUACAUCAUACAAAAACCAAAAAAGUAAAUCACAUCAUUCUAGUGGGAUGUUUAUUCCUUGCUUUUGCUUUCUCUUUUGCUUUCUCCUUUCUUUUCUGUUUUGCUUUUGCUUUUGUUUCUGUUUCUCACUGCUUUUCUGCUUUUCUUCUUAUUUGCUUUUCUUUUGUCUUUUCUUUUCUGCUUUCUUUUCUUUUUGUCGAAUAAUUCUUCGUCUGCUCCCUUUAUUUUCGCUUUUGCAGGGUCACCCAUGUUCUCAAGCAGAUGAGAGCUCAUGGCUCAUGAUGUUAUUCGGUAUAGUGUCAUUUCGCCCAAUUGUUACCGACGCUGGACUGAACUUGUCGCCGAAGGUGGAGCGAACCGUUUGACGGGUCAACCCAACGAGGUAGUCUUCCUCGUCCUUCUCAGUCUUGCUUGACCCGACUCGUAAACCGUCACUUUUCUGAGUCUUUGAGUUGAGCUUCAUGGCCGGUGCGUCGUCGUCGUUGAGAAUCUGGGUUGAGGCAUCUUGAGUCGCGGCCGUCGAUGGUAACGGAUUCAAAGCUAACGAAGAACUAGGCUGUCAUGGUAGGGCGAAUGAGUCGAGUUGGUAGGACUCAUAACCUUCAGAUCAUCGAGUUGUCAUGUGGGUUUAAAAGCCUGAGGACGUGAAAGUAGAAAAGCUUGAAGCUACUGCAUUGAGCUUCGUGAUAAGAGCAUAUUUAUGCGACUUAAUUGGCUUGUUCUUGUGCAUUUAUGUUAUGUUUCGUUAGCUAUUUUAGUGUUUAAAGUUACUUUUGUGUAUUUUCAGAUUCUAAAGGCAAAGUAUGCAUUUUAGAGCCUUUUGGAGCAAAAUGGAGCUUGGAAUGAUUAUCACAUGCUUGGAGCAAAAGGAAUGGAUGAAUUGAAGACUUGAAGAAAUUAGGAUUCCUAAUCAACGAAGGAUUCCUAAUCAACGAAGGAUUCCUAAUCGACGAAGGAUUCCUAAUUGAAGAUGGAUUCCUAAUCACAUGAGGAUUCCUACUCCAACAAGGAUUCCUACUUGAAGUAGGAAAGUUAAGCCAAGGUUUCUUAUUUUGGUUUGACCUUUCCUAAUCCUAAUUGUCCCUAUGUUCCAGCAACUUUGAAGGCCUUUUAAGCAUUCUAGGACACAAAUUACACAUUCCUUGCACCAUUCAAGGUAGUGCCGCACCUCACCACCCUUUCCUUCCCUUUCCUUGCCUUUCCUCUUCCUUGCCGUGCAAGGGAGAGGGUCCUUUCCUGUUUCUUUGCAAUUAAAACACAUUCCCCUUUUGUUUUGAACCCUAGCCGCACCUUUUGGCUAUUUUCCCUUAAGUUUCUGAUUUAAUUUCCUAUUUCUAGAAGCUUUUGACUUAAUUUCUGUUUACCAAAAUAGUCUAGGGUUUUUAAUUUCCUAAAUCCCUUUAAAUAAACAUCCUUGUGCAGCCACAAACAUCCCGAUUCAUCCAGAAACUCAUCAUUCACGCCAGAAACCAUUCUCCAUCUUCAACAGCCCCAUUCCUUCAUCAUUCACCCAAAUUUCUGCCACAAAACCACCCUAGCCGCACCACCCAUCAACCCUAAACACUUCCAUACAUCCUCCAUCCAUUCUACAUCAUUCAAAUACCCAAGAACCUACCCAAAGUCCCUGUGCUGCAGCAAAGGAGAGGAAGAAGAAGUACUUGAAGUUUCUAGCCGUUCAACAUCUAAUCGUUGGAAUAUUUAGGUGUUCUCUUUCUUAUAUUUAGAAUGUAUGAAUCUGUUUUCCUUUGUUUUGUGAACAUGAGGAACUAAGCCUUUUGGCUAGGGGGUUAUUCAAUACCAUGAUUAUGCUUGCAAGAUGAAUUGAUUACGUCUAAUUGUUAUUUCAUGAAUUGUGAAUGCAAUUUGUUUAACCGUUUGAUUGAUGACUUAUUUUGUGUGUUAAUUAAGAUGGCCAACUUAGUUUUCAUGCAGGAAUUUGAAGCUAAAACAUAAGGAAGUUUCACCUAAUAGUUACAACUUUAUGUUUGCAAGUAGUGGAGGUCGCUUAUAAACGAUCGUGUUAAGUGAAUUCUUGGCGAACGUUUCAUGCUUUUCAUAGUAACAAUUGCCUCGUCAAUGCUUAUAGUUUUCAUGAAGCUUAAUGAUCUUUGAUUGUAUCUUUAUUGUGCUUUUCACGUGAGGAACUUUUAGAGAAUGUUUUGAGUUGUUGCAUGUGCAUUCCCAUCCAAUUCACUAAUUUUAGGAAAACUUGAAGGUUAAAAAAGUGCUAUCACAGUUAACCUAGGGCGUUGAGAUUCAUAAUUCAUUGAAAGAAACAAUUGGAAAUCAAAGUUGAAUGCAAGUAUAUCAUGUGUGGAGAAGAACCCUCUAGUUAAUCUAUCAACCAUCAAUUUACUUAACUUUGUCUUAAAAUCUGUUUACUUUGUUCUUUCUUUGUUUUAAUUAACUUCGUCCAAAAUCAAACCCACCUUAUUUCUUUGAGUCAUAUUACUUAGAACUUGUCUUAGAAUAUGUUUUUAGGUGUUUUAGGUCAUUAGGAAACCAAAAUUCGUCCAAGUUGUGUUAGAGUCCCAAAACUGCCCAGAAAGUGGUUUUUAGGCAGUUUUGAGUGUUUGGUUGCUGUUUUGAUUCUUUUGGUUCGUUUUAGUGUUUUAGAGUUUAGUUUUGCAUUCUUUGAGUCUAGUUUCGUAUUUUAAACUUUGUUUUACAGAUUUGAGUCAGUUUAGAGUGUUUUAGCAAUCCCUCCUAAUCCUCGGUUUAAGAACGAUCCCUACUUAUCCAUACUACAAUUGUCAACAAGAGGGUUAAUUUAUGUGUUUAGUUAUUUUACGCAUCACUUCGAGGUGCAGCUUCGCAAAAACGCAAAAGUCAAAAAUGGAGUGCAAACCUUCCUCUUGGGAGAGAAGAGCUCUAGAGUGCAGACCUUCCUGACCUUGACGUAAUGGGGCCCGUAGUCAGCCCAAACAACAUCCUGACCGUCCUUGCUGAACUUCGCAGCCCAUCUGCUCCGAUGCAGGUCCUCCAUCUUCUGGUCGUGCUCCUUGAGCACCUCCUUGGCUAGCUCCGAGCUCGACACCACCACGUUCAACGUGGACCUCUUCCACAUUGAUAUGAUAGGGCCGUAUUCCUGGGCCCACUCGACGUAGCAGCGGAAACUCACGGGCUUAAUGUUGCAGAGGUUGCCGACGAUCGACUAUUCACAUGGGCCAGGCAGGCUCUUGAAUAUGGGCCUUUGGUAGAGCUUGUAGGCGAGGGAAAUGAGAAUGAUGAUUCAUGAGAUGUAAAGUAGGAGUCCACCAGAGAAAGCCAUGUUAGACUGAUUGAGCUAAUUAAGGUCAGAGUUGGAGGGAGGUUGAUAUAUAUGAAAGACCCUUGGGAUGAAGUUGGUGAAUGGAUCUGUAUUGGGGAGAGAGAGAGUUGGUUUCUACGAGUGUCUAAAUUUCUGGGAGAACUCUGGAUUUUUCUUGCCAAUUUUCCAGAUCCAUAGCGGAGGUGAAAAAUUGAGAGAGAAUCGACAUAACUUUUCAUAUCGAUUCCCACAGACGGCGCCAAAUAUUGAUGCACAAAACCGAAGGUCUUGGAACAACGUAAAUCCGACCUUGAAUCUGCAAGAAAGUAAAGAACACAAGAUGUAUCGUGGUUCACCCCAAGGUUUGGGCUACGUUCACAUUGAUUAUGUAUUUAUCUGAGGGAGUGAGAGCUUUGAGAGGGAGUGAGAGCUUUGAGAGGGGGUGAGAGGGCCUAGGAAUUGGCCUCCCCUAAUUAUGAGGGUGAGGGGUCUUUUUAUAGAAUAAGGACUUCUCACUUAUUACAUAUUUGCCCCUUCCUUUAUUUCAUAAUUACAUUUAAGUCCCUCGAGUAUUUAUAUGAGGUCUAAAUACGAGGCCCUAAAUAUGGUAUAAACAUACCUCAUCUCUGACAUAACCCGAAGUCAUACAUCUUCACCUUCGGGUGAUGGACCAUGGUAUUCUUCACUGGCGUAACCCAAUGUCGUACAACUUCACCUUAGGUGAUGGACAGGUACUGCCUUCGGGCAAAUGAGGAGUUGAUGAUAUUGAUGUUAUACCCCCAGCUUCAAUAACACGGGGCUAGUGUCGGUGCGUGAUGUUAUAUAUCUUUUUCUCCGAUGUAACCCGGAGUCGUACAGCUUCAUCUUCUGGUGAUGGACCAUGGUUUUCUUCAUUGGUGUAACCCAGUGUCGUACAACUUCACUUUCAGGUAACCAUGGUUUUCCUCACUGGUGUAACCCAGUGUCGUACAGCUUCACCUUCGGGUGAUGGACAGGUAUUGUCUUCAGGUGACUAUGAUAUCCCUAGAGAGUACAAUAUUGAUGAGGUUUAUGGAUUUACCUUUGGGCGAUGAUGGCACCGUGAUUGAGUAUGGUUUUUACAUACACAUGUUUUACAAAUGUUUUCAUGGCAUGUAGAGGUUUCGAAAAACUUACUAAAUGUAGUAUUAUAUAUGAGUUUUCAAAACAGGGGGUUAGUAUGUCUCGAACGUUCCCUCCACAUCCUUUCUAUAAGACUCUUGUUUCUAAGAAAAUAAUUUCUUCUUCGCAAUAUAAGGAUGAGAAUAACUUUUCACAAAGAUAGACCAACUAGGAUAAAUACCAUCAAUUAAGUAGUAACCUAGCUCAUGCCUAUUACCAUUUACCUUGUACCUCCAUUGCUUAGAAACCUCUUCAAGUCUUCACGAUUAGACUUGCGGAGGUAUAUGGCCCCAUAUAUGGCUUCAAUUGCCUUACAGAAGCGCUAGAGGUUUUCAAUAGUACUAUUAUCCGCAAAUUGACAAUAUUUGUCAGUUGCGUCUGUAGAGCACCCAUUAACUAACAUCCGAAAUACAGAUAUGAGCUUCUAAUGAGGUGACAGACUUUGUCGGCCUGCGACAUUUAUCUUCCUUGCAAAGUAGUGGUCAUGAUGGACAACUGCGUUCAAGAUGCUUUCAAAAAGCUCUCUCCUCAUCUGAUACCGCCUCCGAAAAUCAUGAGGAGGAUAUCUCAGACGUUCGAUGAAAUAAUCUUUCAUCAUCCGAUCAUGACACUCUUCUCUAUCAUGCUGCACAAAUGAACGCCUCAUGACAGAACCACGAUAGCUAGAUUCGGCAUGGUGCUCAUAUUGCAUAAGCGAGUUUGCAAAUUCAGGUUCUUCGUUGUUCAUUUUUGCAUCCACAGUCGCAAGGCUUGCUUGGUAUUGUGCCAUCUACAUUGUCAAGCUACGCCUUCUUCUAUCACUCAUUGAUGAGAUAUUGAUGAUUUUGAGGAGGAGAAAAACACCAUGAAAGUUGGAAGAUUGUUGAAUAUGUUGUGUGUUGGUUAGAUAUUCAACCUAUACUUAUAUAGAGGAUGAUUGAAGGUUUGUGUUUCAUGCGUUUCAUGUGUUUUGUAUGGAUUUGGUAUGUGUUUCGUGUGUGUCAUGUGUUUCGCAUGUUUGGUGUGUUAUACAUCUCUAUCAUGUGUUUUGUAUGUCCUUCAUAUAUGUUCUGUGUGUCUUGUGUGAUUCAUAAAUUUUAUGUUUAUACAUCUCUAUCAUGAUUUUCAUAUUCUUCCAUAGUGUUUCAUGAGUUUCAUGUAUUGAUUCAUUGACUUUUCAAUAUUUAUCGGAAUUUAAAUAAUUUUAGGUUAAAAUGUUCAUAAAAUUAAUUUAGGAUAGUCUACACAAUUUUUUUUUUGAAGUUAAUUUAAAAAAAAAAAUUAGCCUAAAUUUAUUCUUUAAUAAUCUGGGGCUAAAAUUUUAUGCCAGAAGGGUUGGAGCGAAAAAACUGUUUUUAAGUUAAAAUCUAAAUUUUGUGGGCUAAAAAUUUUAGGUUUUAGGCCAAGGGUUGGAGAUGGUCUAAAUGUAUUUAUCCACGUUGAUUGUUUCACUUUAUUACUCUUGCAUGGCGCACGUGCCUAUAAACACAUGUCUUGUGUUGUUGUUUUUCUUUCUUUUCCUAAUCACGAGCUACACACGAUUUAGAAAUUUCCAUUUGAUUUUGGAGAUCAGUAAAGUAUCAUUUUGAACUUCCUGUAGCUUUGCUAAAAUAUUUAAUAUAUUAUAUACUAAUGGUACUAUUUAUUGACCUUGUAAAUUGAAACUUGUGCAAAAGAUCUAAAUACAAUUGAAAAUCAGAGUACGCUAUGAACAAAGGAAAUAUAAACUACGAAUAAUACUUUAUUCAUCAAAAGGAACAAUACACUAUAAAUUUGCCGAGACAACUGCAUAACUCGUAAGACUACAUCUUGCUAGACUUAAUAUUCUAUAGAGUUACAAAGUAACAUAUAUAUGGAAAAUUCAACCCCAAUAGGCAAAGAAACGAAUAUCUAAUUUUAAUAGGAAAGACCCCAAUCCAACAAUAAAAUAUAUAAAUAGUUUUUCAAUACCAUCAUCAUAACUUAUGGCGGUACAUGUCACGAGGUUGCCAACUAGAAAUUGAGGAUGCACCGUUAGGCAAACACAACAAGACAAGCUCCCCUACGCAUAUACCACACGAAAAGUUUCGUUAGAUGGACAAGGCAAGUUUCGUUAUGCGGACAAAACAAGCAACCAAGCAAGCGAACAAUUUGAAGGACCAAGCAAAUGAGUAAACAAACAAUCCAAGCGAACAAGCAAUCCAAGCAAGUGAACGAGCAAUCAAGCAAUUCCAACAUUUAACUAUCAAAUAACAGUUUCUAGCAGAUUCUGACAAAUGAUCCAACUAAUAACUAGGUACAUAACAUCACUUGAGUGGUCACUAGUCAAAGCACUCAAGCAAUUGUUGUAGUGGGCAACAACACCCGUAUACAAUUCCAAAUCACAACUCUUUUAAAAACAACCAAAAUGGACCCCAUAACAACAUCAGACACCAAACCCUUAACCAAUUUACCCAUUGAUUCAUUCUAGAAUUGUGAAGAUUAUUAUGUCUUAAUUCGGAAUGAAAUAGUUCUUGUCUUUUAAACGCAGUUUUUAAGGUGCAAACCAAAUAUGGUCCGUUGAAUCAAAUCUGAGCGGCCGACAACAAAUCAAUCAAAAUAAGCUCAGGGUCAAAUGACCUAUCAUUAAAUAAAAAUGGUACUUGACAAGGGCUAAAUUUUUUCCAAUUAAACUCUCCCUCUUCCUAAAAAUAAUUACCGCUCUUAAAAUUGUUGCCUUAUUCCCCCAAAACUCUCUUUCUCUCUCUCUCUCUUGCGAACGAUUUCAAAAAAUUUGUAGACGAUUUCCUUCUUCUGGUUCAAAAACUUCCUUCCCGUUUGAAACCCAGUCAAAGUUGUGCAGUGUUUGCCAUCUUCGGCCCGACGUUCCAAACUCACUGCAGUUCCACACAACACUUUAGAAGAUCAGGUGAAUUUGGUUUGAAAUUUUUCCAGUUGGUUCAACAUAAAGGACGUUAAAGUCCUUUCACAAUAUUCAACGUCAUACACAAUUCUCGUAUCUUUUCUCUCUAGAAGGCCAAUCAUGUAGGAGGGGGACAUUAGUAUCUUCCUCCUCCUACAUCACUCAUCUUCUUCCCUCAAUCUAUCCUUUGGUGUCGGAACUUAGAGGCCACCAACUUUAGAAGCUUUUGGAGAAUUCAUUCUUCCAUCCAAAUCCAAGAAGAUAUGGAGUCAAGGAGCAAGGUUCUUCCAUCCACAUCCACAUCCAUGGUGCCAAGGAGCAAGGAGACAAAGAAAAGAACUCCCUCACAUAGGUGAAUAUCACUUGCUAAGCAAAAAGGUGCUUCAAAAGUAUAUAAGUUUCUCAACUCACUUUGUUUUUUAGUUCAGCCCUAGUUCACCAUUCUUUAAAGUUUAUGGCUUUUGUUUUAAAGUGCUUACAAGCAUGUUUCCACCAUUUAAUUGUUAAAUGCAUGCAUUAUGUUGCUUAAUGAACUUAGAUUUUCAAAUAUUUUCCUUCAUCUCAAACCCAAUUGUGAGUGCAUAUUUAUUGAAAAACAAGUAGCUUCCUCAAAUGAAUCAAACUUCAUAUUCACUUUGGGUUUCAACUCGUCGUUUACAUUUGGUACCAACAAAUUCAGCCUUCCCUGCACCAAAUUCAUCUUCUGCAUCUACAUCCUCACUUUCUUUAAUAUUUUCGUCUACUUCUCUGCUAUCCCCCAUUAGAAUCCAAUCAACAACUUGCUACUUCAAAGCUACCCAAAUAUAACAUAACUUAUCACAACCCACCAAAGUUUUACCAAUGCAUAACUAAAAUCGAAUUUUAGAAUUUUCACAAUAUCCAGUUAUAACAGCCAAAACAUGAUCGAAUCAAAAUCAGCCUCAAAGUUACACAACACAACCAGAGUAAUCACAACCCAACAAGAAUUUCACCAUAUAUAAUCUCAAUUUCCACCCAAAUAACCUUAAGUUAUAACAACCCAACAUGAUUGAAUUUAAUUUCACGAAAUAAAAAACAUGAUAUAAAUUUAACUUAACUCGAAUUUUAGAGUCUAGAACUUUAAGCUCAAUCUCAAAAGAAGGAAACAUAGAGUAGAGGCAUCUACUAAAUACGCAGCGCUGCAGCGCCACGAACUAUCAACGACAACAAGUACGACACCAACGACGACAAGGGUUCUAGGCUCCUCCUCUUCCCCAGCUCAACUCUCUCUUUUUCCAAACGAAAUAUAAAAUCACACCGAGUUUUACCUAAAGACCUGUUCGUCUUGAGGAAUAUCCAAUGAGGACGUUGCCUGGCUAACGAGCACACAGCUCCCCGAGAGGUUGGCGCCGGUUGAUGUUGUCUAUCGAGCUUCUGCUUAUUGGCGGGCUGUAAGAGAAGGACAGAGUUAAUUCUGAAAUGUACCUUUGUGGGGCCUUAGGUGUAAGUCUUGAGGCUCAUAAUCAAAAUUAACUUUAAGUACCCAGGCGUGCCACUACCAUCUUUAGCAUGACAGAUGUAAAAUCGAUGUUAAGUUUUAUUGUAUAUAUAUGUCUGAGAGACCAAGUUAGUUAUGAAAGGUGCCUUUGUGGGGCCUUAAAUGUUGGCCUUGAGGCUUCCCGUCAAAACUAACCAAAUACUUGAACAUAUAUUGGUUGUUUCAUUAUUGCAGAAGUAUCACAACUGUUAUACUUUAAUUGCCCAAGCCCGCAGAGCAGAACGAAUUCAGAUAGGUGCCUUUGUCAGGCCUUAGUUAUAGGCCUUGAGGCUUCCUAUCAGAGUUAAUUCUAUACUCCAGCGUUCUGUAGCAAUCAUGAUAUAACAGAAGUAAAACUAGAGAAUAAGCUAAUUACUUGCGCCCCAAGUAACUUCGGACUUCUUGUUAUCAAAGAUUGUCGUGGAUGGGUUAAGUCCACAUAGGGUUCUUUUUAUGCCUUGAGACCAAAGACUUUUAAUUGAUCAAUCUUGUUUGCCCGAAUGGUUAGAACUUAGAAGUCUUUUAAUCAUAAACUGGCUAGAAAUAACUUGGAUGCAGAUGGAAAUAUACAUCAUAUUACUAGAUAUAUGAAUGAAAGACAAAAACAAAGGAGGUCGGGCAAGGCUGAUCGUCUUGCAACUUCCUCUCUUUGUGAUUUACAAGGGGUUCGAAUGCUAGAAGGGGAGAUUGGAAGAUGAGUUUAUAUGAGGGAAUCGAUACUACAGGAAGAUUUAAAUAGGGUAGCAGAGCUUUUACAAAGGCUUUCUGGUGAAGGUUGAUCCCGAAAGGGAUGAAGGCUUGAGGGCUGACUACAGCUUCGUGAAGGAAAAUCUAGUUUGAGCAGAGUUUGUGCUUGUAUUUGUUUGUUUGAUUGAGUGUCUUUGUCUCUGAUUUUUCUUCCUCCUUUUAUAGACGAUUUGGCUUGGCUGUCUGCAGUAUUGAUUUUGUCCGAAUGCAUCUGAAGGGCAAUGACUCAUCAACUUUUUACUUGUACUGCCAUUGUAAAGUACUUUUGGGCUGAUUAGCUGGCUGGUCUACACCACUUGACCUCUAGGUAGGUGAGCAGGUGGUUUGAAUGAUCUGCACUUGGUCGGGAAACAAGCUCCUUCUUUCUUCUGGGCUUCGGCUGGGCUUUGGACUUUUCCUUUUUCUGAAUCUUCUUUUGGGCUUUCUUUUGAGCUAACCCCUUUUUAACCCACAGUUCAAAUUUUAUCCCAAACAAGAUCCGAUUCUAUUGAUGAGCUAGGCCGAUCCCAACCGUUGGAUUUUGGGCCGCAUAGUAGAAGCACCCGAGGUCGGUUUGUGAUUUUGUUAGGCUUGUCGGGGUGGAAGGAGUAGGAAUGGCCCAUAUCCUACCCAACAUGAUUUAAGUGGGAACCCCAGCCUUCGUCCGGGUCUCUAAAUUCUCCCUUGCAAUUUUUCCGGUAUCUUUCUUCCUCUCCCCCUUGUUUUCUUUCUGUAAUUGCAAAAUUACAUUAAAAUUUCCAAAGGAACAAGGGAGAAGGUAACGACAUGGCCUCUCCUUACCCAAUUUAUUGCGCUUCCUUCAACCAAGACACCAGGUGAAACAAAAUUCAAUUCAAUUCAAUUCAAUUCACAUUUCCUGAUUUUUUCUGAUUUUUUUUCUUGUGGUUAAUAAAAUUUGUAAUCCGUUGGAAUCCGUCAGUUGCUUUGCAAUCGGCACAAGGGGCGGCUUCAAAAUAUUCGAUUCCAGUACUGGCAGACUCUGCUAUGAGCGAGGCAAGUUUUUCAUUUUCUUUUUCUUUUUCUUUUCUGUCGGUUGUUAAUUUGUAAGGAAAAUCGUACAGCUGUUUGGUUAAUUAAGUUUAUUUUUUGUGGUUUGCUUAUAGCUAUUGGAGCUUUCGUUAUAGUAGAAAUGCUUUUUAGCUCUAGUCUUCUUGCCAUUGUUGGAGCUGGUGAAGAGGUACGCUGCACAAUCUAGUUAUUUACUCUUUCCAUUCGACCAUCAAAUAUUUGCUCACAGUAUGACUGCCCCCAGCCAUCCCUAUCGCCCCGCCGCCUCUGUUUGUUCAAUACCACAACUGCAACUGCUCUUCGAGAAUUAAAUUUCUUAACUUCCAUACUUGCUGUUCGCAUGAAUAAGAAGAGGUAACCUGCACAUUGUAUAAUGAUGAGUGAUCCAUCAAUUUGGCUUUGCUAUCGUAAUCUUCGUUUUCAGCGAAUUGUAUCCUUUUAUUUGUUUAAAAAAACCAUAAGUUUUUAGUCUAGAUAUGAUAACAAAGACAAUUGGCAUAUUUGGCAUCGGGGUUCUGUAUUAUGUGAGGUGGUUUUUUCAUAAGUAUCAUGUUUUUUCAGGAGUAUCAUGUUAAUACAUUAAUUGGACUCCAAUUCUUUCUCCUUUGUUGUUGAUGAAUUUUGUAUGCCUUCUUGGAAAGUGCAGACUUGUUGUCAUUUUACAGGACAAAACAUACGUAUAUGACAUAAAUAGUCUCGCAAUCUUGGACACUAUUGAUACUAUACCAAAUAUAAAAGGUGAAAUUGGGUCAUAUUUCUUUUUGUACCUGUACUCGGUUUAUAUUCUGUUCUACCAACAAUCAUUGUGUUUAUUGUUAUAACAUCAUUGUGUUUUUAUCAGGGCUUUGUGCAUUCUCACCAAGUUUGGAAGGGUGCUUUUUGGCUCUUCCUGCUAGCAUCUCGAAGGGAUCUGUGUUGUUGUACAAUGUCAUGGACCGGCAUUUACAUUGUGAGGUUAUGGCAUAAGAUAUUCUCUCUCAUACAUAACAGAAAGAUGAUAAAGUUUAUAUCACAACACUUCAUUUUGUUACCUAACUUAAUUAUACUCGCGGAAUAAUGAUUUCCAGCAUGAAUUGUGAGUAUUCUUUUUUUUUCGAGUAAUGAGAAAGAUUGAAUGACUUUGUCUUUUCUUCUAUCUUGCUGGUCAUUUUCAUGGUUCUGUUUCAUCAGCACACUCAAGAUCAAAAUAUUUCUCUUUUAAUCCCCAAGAAUUUAAAAACUUAUUCAUGCAAGUUGCAUGCAGUAUGAUUAUUUAAAUGCAUUUAUGCUUUGUUGAAAUCCUCAAAUCAGGAUGUUUUGCAGCUUCAUUUUGAAAACUUGUGGGCAUAUUUAAAAACCACUUUUGUGAAUUGGAAUUUACAUAUCAAACAUUAACGAACAAUUUUGCUUUAAUAAGUUAAUUAUUAUAUAUGCUGAAAAUGAUUUUUCUCUUUCCAUUUCCUAAUUCAUAUUAUUUGUAUCCUUGGAACUUAUUUACAGAUAGAUGCGCAUCGAUCCCCACUUGCUGCAAUUGCCCUUUCUUCCAAUGGAAUCUACAUAGCAACAGCAUCUGAACAGGGAACCAUUAUCAGAGUCCAUCUAGUCUCAGAAGCAACUAAGGUAAAGAAUAGCAAAAUAUGAAGAGGAUUGUUAUUGGCACCGCCAUUCGGGCUUAGUUAAUAUGAUUAUAUGGAUCAUAUGUAUUGUGCUUCAACAAAUUCAAGUUUGGCAAACUUUCUUUCUGUAGUCAGCCUCAAAAUUGCACUCUUCUCUAGAUGUUGCUCUUUGAUGUAUCUGGCAAUAGACUAAACUUAGCAAAUUAGAGAAUGACUGGAAAGACACAAGAUUUAUACUAGUUUGACAGAACUUUUGCCUACGCCCAGUUCUAAUUUCUCUGGGUAGAGAAAUCACGGCUUCUUAAUUAAUGAUAGAGCAUACAGUACUUUUGCAAACCCUAAAUCUAAUCCCUCUUCUUUCUCUUGGCUGUCUCUGGCCUUUUUCUCCCUUUUUUCUGGUCUUGCCGCACCCAAUUUAUAAGAAUAGGGUGCGGUUUACAUGCCUAUUUUCUAAUUAAGUUUCCUAUUCUAUAAGGAAAUAGGAAAAUAAUGUAUUUCCUAUUUGGCCUAAUUGGAUAAAUGGUCCUUGUGGUGAUAGGGUAUUCGGAAGGGAGGCCCUGUGGUAAAAAAAAAAAUUCAGAUUUAAACCCUUGUGGUGAAGUCCCUUAGGAUUUACGCCCAAAAACAAAAUUUCCAUUAAGCUUCCUUUCCUUUUUGUUUUUGUUUUUUUAUUUUUAUUUUUUGUUUUUUAAGUAGAGGGAAUUCGCUUCAGGGCUUUGUCAAUUCUAGAAUGCUAGAAAGUAUUACCAGCUGCAAAGGCAGGUGGAGAACCUUUGCUUGAGGGUACAGUACCAUUUUAGUUUGAUGGAUUUUUUUUUUCUUUUUGCAUAAACCAUAGUUUUGGUAGUUUCCUUUUCCCAUUUGUUUAUAGAAACAUCGAACUUUAAAAAGUGUGUGAUUUUGAAUCCUACUAAGAACUUUGAUUUCAACAACCCUUGCAUAAUUUAAGAGAAAAGGAAAGUCUGCUGUCUCUUGAGGUCAGAAUCACUUGCUCUUGGCUUUUCAGAACAAUGCGAUCAGCUUACACCCACACGCAUAUCUAUAUUUAUGUAGUGCAUAAGAAUUGUCGUGAUAGGCAUCAUCUUUUUCCCUAACUCGUAAUAAGCUACAGCCACUGAGCCAAGUUGUGGCAGUACCUCUAAUUGCCUGUAAUUUCUUACAAGUUAAAUGCACGUCUAACCGAUCCUUCUUUGGCAGUCGUAUAGCUUUCGAAGAGGGACAUAUCCAUCAACUAUAUUUUCUUUGUCAUUUGGGCCAUCUAUGCAACUGCCAGAUAUUCUUGUGGGAACAAGUUCUUCAGGUUCUGUUCAUGCCUUUUCUCUGGGGUUCUCCAUUUAUCAAAGGUGAGAACGACAACUGAACUUUCCCGUUUGGAGACAACACAAACUACUAAUAAUACUACCAAACUGAUUGUGCUGAUUGUGCACGUGCUUUAUUAAGUCUUAAUAGAUGUGAAUGGCUAAUGUUAUAGCAUGCUAAGUAUUGGUUCCUUAUAGCUUAUGGGUUUUGAAUAUAAGUUACUUUUUUCCUAUGAUAUUACACAGCCAUAAUCUUGUAUAUAUAUCCUAAAAAGUCUCUCUUUUUGUUAUUUAUAUUUCCAGUCCUUUUAUCUUUCAUUUUCCACUUAUUUGUUGUCUUUUCUUUCUCUUUACCUCGUCAUUUGUAGCAGAUUUCUUUCCUUUGUUCUUUGUCUAAUUUAUGUGAUUUCACUUUUCUCAUGUCUGAAGACAACUAAAGCUUGAUGGGCCUUCAGUAACAUUUGCUUAUUAUUUUUUUUUUCUCAAUGGUAUUUAUUUUCUGCUACGUUGUGCAAUUGACAUAAAAGGGAAAGGAAAAGCUGUAUUACUAUAAAUCAUAUUCUGCCAAAUCCUUUAAUGCUUAUUUGAUUUGAUGUAUUAUUCUUGCUGUUCAAUCUUCAUAUUGAAUUGAAUAAAAAAGAGUGCAAAAAACUUAUUAAAAAAAGGAGGAAAGAAAAACUGGACAGAAAAGUUAUUAAAAAAAGAGGAAUAUGUACUUGAAAUUCAAAAUUUUGUAUCUAAAGAUGCCUAUCCUGCUUCAUGGUAUGGAUUAAUCUGUCAUCAACUUUCAGCAUCACAUAUCAACCAAAUGUAAUUCCUUGUAGAUGUAAACUAUGCAUUAAAUAUCGCAGCGACUUUUUCUUUUAUUGGUAAGAACCUUGAAAAGGUAAGCUCUAUAAAUUUGUAGACGUACAAAAUUCUUUCAUGAAAUUCAUGUCUAAUUACUUUUCCAAUAUUAGAGAUUACUUGCCGAUCCUUUUCAUUUACAUGUGCAAAGUUAUGUGAUCGUAUUUUCACUCUCUUCACAGAAGCAAAAGAUCAGGGAGUUUUCUUGGAUCAAUUAUACCCGACUCUGUGACUGAUGCAUUAGAUCCGGCACAUCAUGAUGUACUUCAUAAUGCUGCACCGGCAGGAGUCAAAAGGUGGACCACUUGUAACUUACACACUGAAUCCAUAUUAUGUUUUAUACUGUAUCCAUAGUAUAUUUUUACCGCAAGUCUGCUAACAGCAUGGCACCAGCAUUGUUGCUUAGAUUUAAAAUAGUCAAUUGAAAUUUUCUUUAUUCCACUUGUAGGGAAAGUAUUUUGCAUUUCUAGUUUCCCAAAUUGGCAUAAAGCUAAGUGCAGCCUAAAUCUAAGAAACUAAAGCAUAACUAUAAAAUAUGAUAAAGGUGCUCCCAUCAGACCUUGCCCGAAGGCCCCGAACUGAGUCUGGUGCAAUACACCUUGGUCUCUGUCCAGCCUUGUCUUUUAUUCAUUAUUUUGAAUUCUGUAGACGAUUAAUUUGUUAUAUCAAAUAUUUCAACUCCAGAGUUGGAUAUAGAGGGUGUGUUGCACUAUGUGAAACUUAAUAGUUUUGUUAAUGGUGAUUCUUUUAUUUUUGAGGGUAAAUUUUAAAAAACAUAGACUUUGUGAUGCACAACGUGAGCCUCAAAAUUUUCGGGUAUAAGGGACACCAAAAUUUACAUAUAGAGAUUUAAGAAGCAGCGAUAUGUGUGAUUGAUAUAGAAUUAUCAACUGCCCAUCUAAUCAAGAGAAUUUUCUUUUUGUAAGAAUCCGUAUUACAUUGUGAAUAUUGUGGUAUUGCUAUGGACUUAUAAAUUUCCAGCUAAGCGAUGGAAUCGAUUUCUUUUAGAUUCCAUUUAUGUUUCCUUGCUCUUCAAUUUCCCGUGGAUUCAAUUUAGAUUGUAGACCGUACAUCAGAUUUGGACAUUUGGUAACCCAGAUAUCUAGUAUGAUAUUAUCCCGCCUUCUCUAAGAAAGCCCAUAACCUUUGGCGAAUUGUCUUCACUGUAGUAAUAAUUUACAAAAUCAGUUUAGUUUUACUUAUUUCAUCAACUUUUUAACAGCUAUGCAGUGAUACGAAAGGUAGAUAAGGUUGCUGAUACAUCAACUUCAGAAAUUGUGGCUUGUAGGUUAGUUACUGGUUCUUGUCUGUAUGUAGUCUUAUAUAUUUGAAGUCUUUUAUUUGUGAUUCAGUCGUCUCCCUCUCCUUUCUAUACUUUUCUACUACUUUGGGUACUGAAUUAGCCAGUUGAAUAGAGUUCUUAGUAAAUAAAUGUACAAAGUAUUUCACGUACCCAAUGCAGAGGAUGGUAUUGCAAAACAUUAUCAUUGGGCCAUGAAUUACUACCAGAUUUCCACGAAUGAUUUAGAAAUUUGAGGUGCCAUUUCCCUGAGUUUCAAGUAAAAACUCUGCCAAUAUUCACUCAUGGGGAACAAAAUUGUUGGCACCUUCGUCCAGUCGAGUUUUGAAUACUAGUUAAGGUAGUUCUCUCGUGUAAUCGUUUCGUUGUUUAGGUUUGAAUGCCUUUCUAUUGGAUUUUAAUUUUCAGGGCAACUAUUUCCAUCAUAAGCUACAAUGGGUACUUCCAGGAGUACAACUUAAGUGUCAACAGUCAGAAUGAGUUCGUGUGGAGCUUGGAGCGCGAGUUCAAGCUACUUGCUGUCAUCACAGAUGAUUCCACCAGCUCAUGAUGAAAAAGUUAGUAUGCUUCAAGGCCUAGCUGACUGGCCUUGAAGGAUCAUGUAAUACAACUCGGUAACACAAAUUAAUUCCGACACGGAAUUAGUAGGUUAGUAUAUGGCAAAUCAUAGUCGUGUUUGAUUCUUGUUGACCCUAAUAACAUGAGUACAUGGCAACUUGUGUACAUGUGAAUAGCUCGAGUGAGUGGAACAGCUUUCCAAUACAAGAAAAUUAUUUGGUUCACAAAUUGUAUGACUUAACAUGUGGCGAAUAAUCAACGGAACAUAGAAAGAGACGACCUACGCAAUCCAAAGACUUAAAAAUACAUCUAGUAAGCUAAAUGUAAAGUACAAAAUGUUAGCCAAGAUAAACGGAAGCAGGUGCCAGGGCCAUCAGAAAUAACCAAAGUCCCUCAAAGACCGCCUCUGGUGGUCCUUCAGUCUCAACCUCUACCAGUUCGUCCUACCUGAGGGUUUGGAAGGCCAGAUCGAAGAACUGCUCAACCCUUGAACUUUCAACUGAUUUGGUUAAGAGUGUUAACAUUAAAAUUUAGAGUACGUUGAGUCUGAGAUCGAACCGACGUUGAUUUUUGACUUGGGUUGGUCUUUCUUAUGACAUGGGUGGACGGAUGGAACGGUAAUGUGGAGCAUUGGAGAGAGGAGGAUAAAAGGGGUUGAACUUUAUUAAUCUCCUAUAGAACGGGAGGGAAACGGUUUUCACACCCCUACUUGAUUCCCUAGUAUACUCCUCUCCAUUAACAUAUGCCUAUGCAGAAAGAGAAAACAAGUGUGAAAUUUAUUUUCUUUGUUUUUCUUCUAAAUGAACUUUUGAAGAGGCAAAUGCAAAACAAAUCUCGCACUUAAAUCUCUGUCAGUUUCAUAGCAAAUCUAUAAAUGUUAAGCCAAAAAACACGAGAAAUGGGAUUUGAUGUUGCACCAUCUUCAACUCUUCUCUGGAUCCAGAGUUUUUCGAGAAAAGGUCCCAUCCUUCUCCAUAUGUCCUUUAUUCCAUCUCUAUGUCUAUUUCUCAAUAGGCAAUGAAUGAACAACUUCUUAUAUAAGGAUUUCUCUAGGAAACCAUCCAUGACAUUCAAAGACAUGUCCUUAUUUUUUUAGGAAAACUAAUGAAAAGGGCUUGAAAACUUUGAGUUUUAAUGAUAAGGACAAAAUAAAGGGUAAAGUGAAUAGUACCAGGAUUGACUUUUUAGUGUAAAAAUGUGGAUUUUUCGUUAAAGUGAACAGUACCGGGUGCUUUUCGUUAAAGUUCCCUUUUUUUUUUAACAAGCGAUAUUAUUCCUUAUUCAUAGACAAGUCGUUAUUAUUCCUUAAGAAGUAAAAGAUAAUGUAAUUAAUUAAUUAUUUUAGUAUAGCUUACUUUUUUGAAUUCAGAUAAGUCCUAUAUUAGCUGACUAAAUCAUCGUCAUGUUCAUGUAGAUUCAAGUGCAAGAAAACAAGAAAUUUAAUUAGAAACAGCGGCAGCAGUAGGGGAAGGUGAGUCGGUUUGAUGAACGACUACGACACACUAGCUCCAUAUUUGGAAACUCUUGUGCAAUGCCUCGGAAGCUUUGCCUUUGAACGUCGGUUCUAGGAGGAUUAGCUUAACCAACACCCGGUGACAUUCGUAUCCCACAUGCAAAAGGUUUGCGCAACAAUCCUCAGUCAGUUCUUCGUUGCUGUAGAACAUACCCUCAAAGAUCUGUUCAGCGCACAGAGGGCUUAUUUCGUCUGCCCAUUUCCUCAAAUGCCUGUAGUAUCCCUGGGAGGGCUCCGGCGGCAGCACAUCUGGGAAAUUACUGCUGCUGCUGCUGAUAUCUUCUGUGGUGCUAGGGCUAGGGCUAGGGCUAGGAUUAGGGCUAGGGCUUAUUGAUGAUGGUUCAUCACGAUCAGCAUAAUUUCCAUAAACGUCUUCAGAUGCAGAUGAAAGUCUCGCCGAUGACACGACGAUGAUUGCUGCUAACACCAACCCCGGCAUCACAAACGCGUUUCCAAAGCUUGCCAUGCUGUUGGUUGAGGUGGUCAGAUAUUCCGAUUCUGAUUCAAUGUAUUUUCUUCUUGGAAAUACUGGACCAAUAUAUAUAUAUAGAUAUAUAUAAUGUUUGAAUCGGUUUGUGUUUCUUUAUUGAUUAAUUGACAAAUUAAUGAUAAUAGUUUUCUUAUUCUGCCUUAAUUAUUCUUGGUACGGUUAUGGUUGUAGGGAUUUUGAGUUAUGACUCUGGGAAUUUUAACGAAACACUUCUAGUACUGUUUAUUUUUAACAAAAAACCAAAAUUUUACCUUUCCUGUUACUAUUCACUUACACCUUUAUUUGUCUUUUUUUUUUGUUAUUAAAACUAAAUUUUUUUAGAACUUUUCGUUAGUUUUCCUUUUAAUUUAUACUAGUGUUGAAUUUGGCAUUAAAUCAACAUGCCUAAACUAAAAAGGAUUAUGAUAUUUUGGACGCAAGAUAUUUGUAUUUGUGUUUCCUAGUUGGUUUGGGAUUUGGUUUUAGUAUAGGAUUUGGUUUCCUAUAUUCUAGGGACUUUGUGUAAACCUAUGACAUCUAUUAGUAUAAAUAGAUGGAUGUAGGAUAGAGUUUUGUGUGUGAGAGUUUUUGAGAGGCAUAAGUUUGUAUACUUGAGAACACUUUGUGUUUGUGAGUUCUUUUGUAUUUGUUGGUAAUCAAUAAAGCUUCUGUUGUUAGAGAGGUACACUAUACUCCUAACUCUGAAAUCGUUGUGUUUUGUUUAUUGCAUGAUUGGUUUUUGGUUUAGUUUAUAACAAGUGGUAUUAGAGCUUAGGUUCUUACAUGGGUUGUGACCAUCAAGCAAUUGUUGUGUUCCUUCCGAGCGCAAUAUAUGGUUAGUAUAAUGGCACAAGUAAGCAUGUCGAACCACAAAGGCUGAUUAGACCUCUAUAAAUUACUAGCCUUGAAAGAACCCUAACUAAACAAUGAAAAUAACAAAUUGAAUGUAGGUUUUGUGUUGUUAAUGAGAAUAACUAAAAAUGCAAGAAAAAUGUAAUAGCAAAUUAUAUAUUAAUUGAGAAACAAUGAGGAUGGGGCCAAGGAUUUUGAGUUCACCAUUACAAAACCAAUUCCAUGUUUAUAAAAUUAAACAGUAUUCAAUUACCAACCAGUUUCCAGAGUUCGUUUUACAUAUAUAUGAUUAGCCAUAUGAUGUGUGGUUUUGAUCAAAUUCUCCUAAUCUACAACCUAAUUGGGAUGUUCAACUUUGGUUCCAAAUUAAGAGUCUUAAUCAUGGAAGAAAACGUUAAAGAACCAAUGAAAAUACAUGGCAGGAUGUUUACAUAGCAUUCUCUUCAUUCAUUCACAUGUCUACCAAGAUUAAGUAUAUGUUCACUAUAAUCGUGAUCAAAUGAUAUGUAAGAAAUCCUAAUGGUGAUCAAUCAUUAAAAUUAACAAACAAAUUUAACAAAAGAUUCAGUGAAUGAAACAAGAGAUAGAUUGAUGAAUUGAAUAUUUUAACAUAAAAGCAUGGAUCAAUUGUGCAAUGCUACAUCAAAAUCCCUAGCUAUGAAUUUAGUUACACAUCAUGUUCACAGAGAUGAAAUUGGAAAUACACAACAUGAGUGAAAAUAAAUCAAAGAGAGAGGAAACCCUUAAAGCAAUUCUAAUGUUGAACUUUUCCAAGAACAGCUUGUCGGGAUGAGUCUUUGGUGAUGUUGGAGUGUAUAGAAUGGGUGGAGUUUUGAGUGUGGAUGAAAAGAGAGAAAAAUAGUGACUGGAGUUGUGAAAUUCGCUCAGAAUGAAAGGUGUACGUGAAAAUGGCUGGAAGGCUCGGUUUUAUAAUGUUAAAGAGCUGUUACAGAUUGCCAAUACAUCCCAGUAAUUGGGCAUUUAAUUCCUACAUUUUUUUGUUGUUAUUGGUCUUAUAAAGAGCCAUAUUCAUCACCAUAUUCAGUUUCCACUUUUAAUUCUUUGUCUACAUCAGCAUCCUUAUUCAAUUCUCCACUUUUAGCACUAUUUUGCCUUAUCUAUCCUCAACUGAGCUCCAAAAUACGAUUAGGUGCACACUAACACAAAAGAGGGUAAAAUGCAACAAGUUCAACUCAAAAAUAUCACAAGGGGACUAAGAAUGGAUGGUUUAAAUGUCUGAAAUAUAUGAGUUAUCAGCAAUGAUGAAGACUGGUGAUUCUACCAGUGGUGAUGAUGUCGAAGAAAAGUAUGGCACUAGUGGAACCAAGAUGACGGUUCAAAGUGCUAGGUUUGAAAUUGAGAAAUUUGAUGGAACGAACAACUUUGCUAUGUGGCAAUGUGAGGUUUGAGAUGUCUUGAUACAACAAGGUUUGGUUGUUGUGUUAGGAGACAUGUCGUUUUUGAUGAAAAAAAGAAGAAUGGGAAAGAUUGAAUGCUUAUGCAUGUUUUACAAUUCGAUUAUGCGUGGCAAAGCAACAAAAGUAUGGUGUGAUGAACAUAACUUCUGUGAAAGAAUUGUGGGCUGCAUUGGAAACAAAAUAUAUGAAGAAGAGUGCAGAGAAUCGACUGCCUCUCAAGAGCAAGUUGUACAGGUUCUAGUACAAAGAGGGCAUGAAGAUGAUUGGCCAUCUAUAAGAGUUUCACAAGCUUCUAGCUGAACUGGCAAAUCUUGAAAACAUAAUCAAACAUGAAGACAAGGCCUUGAUCCUGAUGAAACCAUUGCUUGAAUCCUACAAGCCUUUCAUGACUACUUGGAUUUAUGGCAGGGAGACAAUUAAGUAUGAUGAAAUCUCAAGUGCUCUUAUGAAACAUGAGGUGAGACACCUUGACAAGCAAGAAAGGAAUAACUCUAAAGCUUUGAUGGUGAGAGGGAGAUCGAAAGAAAAGAAAGGUUCGUACAGGAAAAAUAGUAAGUCUCGUACUAGAGGAGUCUCAAAAGAAUAGGAAGUUUUUGGACAAAGAUGAGUGUGCUUUUUGUCAUGAAAAAGACAAUGGAAGAAGGACUGCCCUAAAAUCAAAGAAAAGACUAGAAAGAAUAAGGAUGACUCAGAAGCAAAUAGGGUUAAAGUCGAGGAUGAGGAAUUUGUCUAUGCCCAAACUGCAUCGAGCACUGUGGAUUAUAUGAAAGAGUGGGUGCUCGACAAAGGUUGUACCCAUCACAUGACUUCUCAAAGGCAUUGGUUUUCAAGCUUCAAAGUUAUGAAUGGAACUAUGUAUAUGGGAGAUGAUAACCCAUGUACAACUCAAGGAAUUGGAAGCAUCAGGAUCAAGCAUUAUGUUGGUGUGAUUCGAGAAAUGCAUGGUGUAAGGUACGCCCCAAAUCUAAAGAAAAUUUUGAUCUCACUAAGCACUUUUGAGUCACAAGGCUACAAGUUUUACUCCGAUGACAACGUGCUCAAAGUUGCUAAUGGAGCACUUGUCAUAAUGAAAAGGCCUCAGAUUGGCUAUGGUAGCUGAUGAAGUGCAAAGUGAUAAAAGUGACUUGUAUGCAUUAUGGCGCAUGAGGUUGGGACAUGUAGGAUAAAAAGCAUUGCAAGGAUUGAUCAAGUAAGGGUGUUUAAAAGGAGAAAAAAAACUGGAAGGAUAGAGUUAUGUGAGCACAUGUGUUCUUAGCAAACAAACAAAGGUGAAAUUUGGCUUAGCUGUUAAUCAAACGAAGGGGAUUUUGGACUAUGUUCACUCUGAUGUUUGGGGGCUUGCAAGGAAUGCUUCUUUAGGUUGAAAAAAGAUGGUUUGUAUCUUUUAUUGAUGACUACUCACAGUUCAUGGAUAUAUAUAUGAUGAAACGAAAGGACGAGGUUCUUGAAAUCUUCCUGGAAUGGAAGAACAUGGUGGAGAACAAGGCUGGAAAGAAGAUUAAGAUACUAAGAAGUGACAAUGGAGGGGAAUAUACCUCUGAUCCUUUCUUCAAAGUGUGUAAAAAGGAAGGGAUUACUCGGCAUUUCGGUGUUAGACAUACCUCCACAGUAGAAUGGGAUUGCAAAGAGACUAAAUAGGACCUUGCUCGAGAAAGUUUGUUGCAUGCUAUCUCAAGCUAAGCUUCCAAAAAGAUUUUGGGCAAAAGCUUUAAGCUAUGCAUGUCAUGUGCUUAAUCGACUACCAUCAACAACAUUGGAGGGUAGAACACCCAUUGAAGUGUGUUUUGGAGAACUGACUCAAGACUACAAUAAGCUACAAGUGUUUGGAUGCAAUGCCUAUUUUCACGUGAAGGAAAACAAACUGGAUCCAUAAGCCAGGAAAGUUGUCUUUAUGGGAUUCAAUAAUGGUGUGAAAGGCUUUAGACUUUGGUGUGUUGAACAAGAUUAUAGUAAGUAGAGAUGUGAUAUUUGAUGAAAGUCAUAUGAAAUUGACGAAAAAUGUUCAAAUGGUGGAGCUUGGGGAACAAGUAAUUGUGAAUUCACAGCCAAGUAAGGAAGCUGUGGAAGAAGAAAGACAAGGUUAUUAACUUGAACAUGAAGAAAGUGAUCACGAAGAAGAAACACCAUUAGAAGAACUAAAGAUACAAGAUGAUUUCAUGGCCAAAAGGAAGGGAAAAAGAGACAUAUCCUUACCUGCGGGAUAUAAAGAUUGCAUGGCUUACAUGGUAUAUGCAUUGCCAGUAAUUAAGGCUGAAAUUCCCAUUAAUUUUGAAGAAGCAGUAAAUAGUGAAGAAUAGUAUAAAUGACAUGAUGCAAUGGACGAUGAGAUGUUCUCUCUUCACAAGAAUAAGACUUGGGAAUUGGUGGAGCUGCCUAGAGGAAGGAAAGCAAUUGGCUGCAAAUAGGUUUAUGCAAAGAAGGAUGAAGUGGAUGACAAGAGCUUGGUAAGAUUUAAAGCUAGGCUAGUGGCUAAAGGAUAUGCUCAGAAGGAGGGAAUAGAUUAUAAUGAGAUUUUUUCUCUUGUAGUUAAGGGGAUAUGCUCAUAAGGGGCGAUUGCUUGCCCUAGUUGCACAAUUCAACCUUGAAUUGGUACAACUAGACGUGAAGACUGCAUUCCUUCAUGGUAACAAGUGAAGGGCAAAGAAAGAUUUAUAUGAGACAACCCGAGGGGUAACAAGUGAAGGGCAGAGAAAGAUUGGUUUGUAAGCUCAGAAAAUCUCUUUAUGGUUUGAAGCAGUCGCCCAGGCAGCGGUAUUUAAGAUUUGACAAGUUUAUGAAGGGUCAAGACUAUACAAGAAGUCACUAUGAUCACUGUGUUUAUCAUAAGAAGUUGAAAGAUGGUUCAUUCGUGUACUUGUUAAUCUAUGUGGACGACAUGCUCAUAGCCUCAAGCAAUAUUUCAGGAUUGAAAAGUUAAAGGAGCAAAUGAGAAAGGAGUUUGGAAUGAAGGAUUUCGGUGAAGCCAAGAAAAUAUUGGGAAUGGAGAUCACAAGGGAUAAACAAAAAGGUUUGGUGUGUUUCUCUCAAAAACAAUAUCUUGAGAAGUUGUUACAAAAGUUUGGAGUAACAAAAGACACUAAGCUUGUAGGAACUCCAUUAAGUGCUCGCUUCAAGUUGAGCAGUCAACAAUGUCCCAAAACUAAUGAAGAAAAGAUGAAGAUGGAUGGUGUUCCAUAUGCUAAUUUGGUUGGAGGAUUAAUGUAUGCUAUGGUGUGUACUCAUCUUGAUAUUGCACACGCAGUUGGAAUUGGUAGUAGAUUCAUACAUAAUCUUGGAAGAGAGCAUUGGAAUGCUGCCAAGUGGAUACUAAGGUAUUUACAUGGAAUGAGGGACAAAGGUAUUUGUUUUGAAAGAUGUGAUGAAGGAAUUGAUAAGUUCUCAGUUGGAUAUGUGGACUCAGACUUUGCUGGAGACUUAGACAAGAGAAUAUCGAUGACUGGGUAUGUGUUUACUGUGGCAAAGGGUCCUAUAUGUUGGAGAUCAAUAUUACAACCAACAGUGGGACUAUCAACCACAGAAGCAGAAUACAUGGCAAUCGCUAAAGCUAUCAAAUAAGCAAUGUGGACUCUGGGGUUGUUAAGAGAUUUAGGUGUAGAACAACACAAGUUGGAUGUAUAUUGUGACAGCCAAAGUGCCAUUUAUUUGGCCAGAUAUCAAGUAUAUCAUACUAGGACUAAGCACAUUGAUGUACGAUAUCAUUUUGUAAGAGAAGUGGUAGCUGAAGGUGAGAUUCGUUUAAAAAAGGUUGCUACAAAAGAUAAUUCAACUGAUAUGUUGACAAAAUGGUUAAUGCAGCAAAGUUUGAGUACUGUUUGGAUUUGGUGCAGUUGAAACAAGUUUGAUCUUGCAAUAUGGUGGAGCAACAGAAGUUGUUUGAUGCCUCGUUAUGGAUUUCAUGCCAAGGUGGAGAUUGUUGGAUUUGGCAUUAAAUAAACAUGCCCAAACUAAAAUGGAUUAUCAUAUCUUGGACACAAGAUAUUUGGAUUUGUGUUUCCUAGUUGGUUUGGUAUUUGGUUUUAGUAUAGGAUUUGGUUUCCUAUAUUCUAGGGACUUUGUGUAUACCUAUGACAUCUAUUAGUAUAAAUAGAUGGAUGUGGGAUAGAGUUUUGUGUGUGAGAGUUUUUGAGAGGCAUAAGUUUGUAUGCUUAAGAACACUUAGUGUUUGUGAGUCCUCUUGUAUUUGUUGGUAAUCAAUAAAGCUUCCGUUGUUAGAGAGGUACUCCUAUAUUGGAGGAACUUUGAAAUCGUUGUGUUUGUUUAUUGCUUGAUUGGUUUUUGGUUUAUUUUAUAACAACUUGUUCAUUUAGUAUUUCUUUUUCUUUUAAUAUUCAUGUUUCUGUUUAAGACUAAAUAAAAUUGAUAUAAAACAAAAAGGCAAUUUACACUCUUCAUUUGUAAGUGAGAGGUAUUAGGUUCAAUUCUCGUCAAAGGAAAAUUUGAACCAAACUAUUACUCAUCCAUUAUGAGGCUUAGCUCACUCUCUCACCCCAUGAAUGUAGAUAAUAUCGUUUGUUAAAAAAAGUUACAGACUACACUUUACACUCUUCAAGUUUGAGAUGAUUAAAAAAUGUGUCAUAAAGUUUUAAUUUUCUGUCAGUGACCACUAUUAGAUAUUGGUAUUCAGCCUAUCUUUCAUCCUAAUCAAUCUAGACAUAAAGGUUGAGAAAUAAUGAAGGUGUCAAAGAAGCAACUUACGACAGAGAAGAAUAAAAACAGAGAGCAAAGAGAGAGCCUAAACGCAAAAGAUGCUUUUCUGAUUAAUUAAUUCACUUUUGAAAUAUUUUUCUAGUACUUAGGACGACUCCGUAAGACCAUUGAGCAACAAUUUACAAAUAAUUUGAGUCAUACAUGUGGCCAUAGAUCUCAAGGUAAAGAAAAGAAAAUUACCAAAUAGGACUUAGUUAAUACGGAUAAGGAUCAUCUCCAAAUUCUUUUUGUGAGAAUUCCAGGAAUUCUUUAAUCGUGUCCCCUCAUUGUACAUCGUGCAGUCAGUUUUCAUCACGUACUGUUUGUGUUCAAUUUUAAAUUAAAAAAUUUAAAAUAAUUUCUGACCGCACGAUGUACAAUGAAUGAACACGAUUAAAGGAUUCCUGGGAUCCUUACAAAGAGGAUCUAGAAAGGAAUCUCAUUUAGUUAAUAUAGCAAAGUAUUAACAUCAACCCUUCCCACUUAACACUUUACUGCUUCACACCGAGAAGCUCUCUUAAGUAGAUGAAUCCAUUUGUAAACACGAAUUCCCUGCAACAAAUACAAAACACGUGUACAAAGAUUUGAUCCGAAGGUUAAGGUGUAUAAUGUAUGUGUAGAGGUGUUGAUCUGAGGGUCAUAAUGACUUAUCUCGAAUCCACCAAUACCAUAAGGAUUUGGCUUGUGGCGAUGGAGAAACUGGUACUGUAGUGGUGGUUGAAGGUUCUUCAAGAAAAGUCUUUCUUUAUCUUGGAGUCUUGUAUUUAUACUCUUCAAGUCUUGUUUGAGGCUUGAUUUGAUCUUGAUUUUGGACUUGAUUAAUUGACGAAAGAACCAAGACUUGAUUUGGGCUUGGUUCGUGGUUUGACUUCAUCACAUUAUCCAUGACCUAAUCAAAUAAUCUCAUUUGAUAAAAUCAAAUAAAUCAAUCACAUUUCAUCCUUAAUUUGGCCAAUCUCCUCUGAUGUGGCAUUUUGAACCUAUUCUUUCCAUGACUCCUCUUAACUAAGACAGAGAUCCAAUGCUUAAAGUAGGAAUCAUUUAUUUUAAAUUUAAAUAAAUUAAUUUAAAAUUAAUUAAAAAUAAUUCCUUGAUUAAUUUUCGCCAAAUGUCAAUGCAUGUCACUCAUGAUGACUUGUUCGGCCUUGAUGAGUCAAAUGUCAUGUAUAUGAUUUGUAAGACACAUGAUAGGAGCAUAUUUAUGCGACUUAGUUGGCUUGUUCUUGUGCAUUUAUGUCGUGUUUCCUUAGUUAUUUUAAUGUUUAAAGUCAUUUUCGUGUGUUUUCAGACUCUAAGUACAAAGUAUGCAAGAAGAUGCAUUUUGGAGGCCUUUGGAGCAUGUUUCGGGCUUGGAAUGGAUAGCAAAUGCAUGGGCCAAGUGGAUGGACGAAUUUGAGAACUAAAGAGGCCAAGAAUAUGAAGAAUUAUGGUCCAAAAGAUGAAGAAAAUAGCCCAAAAAUCUGUCACCCCAACUUGCAUUCCUUGCCAUGCAAACCACAUAGAAUUCCCUUUGGAUUCCAUGCCAUGCUUGAUCACUCUUGUCCCCUACAUAAUUUCUAAUUUUCAUGCUUCAAUUCAUUUAAUUAUUACACUCAAUUGCUUGAUACCUCUUGUUCCCUUCACACUUAUUAGAUUUUUAGACAACAUUUACAUCCAUUACAUGCACCAAUUGAUGAUGCUCCAUCAUUCACAUUUGGAAUCCCAUGCCUUGUGUACCACAUGUUGCUGCACCUUUGACCCAUUUAUUGACACAUUUUCACCUCCAUUUCCAUCUCUAUGCAAUGUACACAAUCAUUCAUGCUCCCUAGCUUCAAGACCACUCCAUUUUUACCCUUCACACUUUGCAUCAUCACUUCAUUUUCACCCUUGGACCAUUGCACACCACACACACAAAAAUUACCAUGCAUUUCAUCCUUAACCUAACCUGAUUUUCUAAGGUUUUUGGGGCCUAUAAAUACAUGUUUACACCCCUUGGCCAAAGAAUAAUAUUCCCCAUAUUCAUCAUUUUAUCACAGAAAAUUCGUCCAUACACACCCCUAGGAAGCAAAAAAACACCCAAAAAACCACCAUUCUAGUGCCUAGAAAACAUAACAGCCACUCCACCUUCUUCCACCCUCUUUGCCUAGUUCUCUACCACUCCCCAACCAUCAAAACACUCUUCCACUCUCACCCUAAACCCUUCCACAAAUUCCCAUCCAUUCUACACCAUAAAUCCACCCAAAAAUCUGUCCACAAGCUUCAUGCCGCAAGCAAGGGAAAGGAGGAAUCUUGGAUGCACUUGCUACCAAGUUGGAGCAUUUUAGGUGUUUUCUUUCCUUUGAUUUUAAUGUCUAAUUUUAUGUAUCUUUGUAUUGCAAGAAUGAGGAACUAAACCCCCUUAGUUGGGGGGUGAUUCGAAACCAUGUACAUGCUUGCAAUAUGAUUUGAUUACAUUCAGUUGUUAUUUUUCAUAAGUUGCGGAUUCAAUUCGUUCAUCUACUUGAUUGAUAACUUAUUUGUGUAUGUUGAUUGAGAGUGCACGCUUAGUUUUCAUGCAUGAAUAUAAUGCUAGAUUAUGAGGGAGUUUCACCUAAUAGUUACAAUCUUAUAAUCACAAGUAGUGAAGGUCGCUUGAAAACGAUCGCGUUGAAUGAAUUCUUGGCACUAGUUUCAUGCUCAUCAUAGUAACGAAUGCCUCGUCAACACUUAUAGUUCUCAUUGUGCUCCAUGAUUCUUGAUUGUAUCUUUAUUGUGCUCAUCACGUAAGGAACCUUCGAGGAAUGCUUUGAAUUGUUGUAUGCGCUUUCCCAUCCAAUUCAUUAACUUAAGGAGAACUUGAAGGUUAAUUUAAGCGUAUCUAAUUAACUUGGGGUGUUGAGUUUCAUAAUUUAUUGAAAGAACAACUGAAAAUCAUUUUGUUUGCAAGUGUGUCAUGUGUGGAGAAGAACCUCCUAACUAGCCUUUUAUCCAUCCUUUUCAUCUAAAAACGUUUUACAAUUUGUUUUUGUUUUAAAGUUUCUGUUUUGUUUUCAAUUUUUCGUCCAAAACAAAUCCCCCUUUAUUUUGAAGUCUUAGAUUAGUUAGAAAGUGUUUUGAUUUGUGUUUCUAAGUGUUUUGAUUCAAGUUUUCAUCCAACUUCGUCCAAGUUCUUGUUAGGUUCUCAAAACUGCCCAGAAAGUGGUUUUUAGGCAGUUUUGAGUCAUUAGGUUGCUGUUUUGAGUUUUAUGUUUGUUUAAGUAUUUUAAAGUAUAGUUUUGCAUUCUUUGAGUCUAGUUUAGUGUUUUAAAUUUUGUUUUUAUGUUUUUAAGUCAGUUUUCAAGUGUUUAGCAAUCCCUCCUAAUCCCCGGCCUAGAACGAUCCCUACUUACAUACUUUACUACAUUUGAUAAAAAGAGGGUUUAAUUUUGUGUGUUAACUUAUUUUACGCAUCAAAUUUUGGCGCCGUUGCCGGGGAUUAGCAAAGUUGCUAAUCCCUUGUCUUGAGUCUUGUUUAAAUUGUUUAGUUUUUUUUAUUUUUUUUUAUUUUAUUUUAUUUUUUAUUUAUUUUAUUUUUUUUUAUUAUUUUAUUUUUUAUUUUAUUUAUUUUAUUUUUUAUAAUUACCCUGUUUUGUUUACUUAUGAUAUUUGAUUUAGUUUUAUUUCUUUGAUAUCAGGUACUAAAAGAAGUAAGACAUGGCAAUUGCUAAUCUUCAAGCUCAAAUGGCAAUUCUUACUUCUCAAUUGUCACAGUACAUCGAAAGGACCACAAUACAAAGCACCCCUACAUUCGAUGUGUCCUAUACGCAAGGAUAUCAAGCAGAUCAACAUCCACAAAGGAGUUGGGAGAGUUAUCAUGAUCAUAAUCAAUCAAUGAACAACUUGUUUUCCAACACGUAUAAUUCAGAUUGGAGGGAUCAUUCAAACACUAUGUGGUGGGAACCUCAACCAGUUCAACACGAAGGAUAUUGGCAGCCAUAUAAUGAGUUCUAUUCAAGCCCUGCUCAGCCACCACAACCUCAUACACACAAUAUACCCAACCAAACUCAGGUUCGUCAAUAAAUUAUGAACAAAUUCUUAAUGAAUUAAAUUCUUUGGCGCAGGGCUCACAAAAUCAAGCCAAGGAGGCUCAACAAGGAGAAUAUUGGCAGCCAUAUGAGGAGUUCUAUACAACGCCUAUGCAGCCACCACAACCUGCCCCGCAACAAUUCCAAUCAAAUUCAGGUUCGUCAAUAGAUUGUGCUCAAAUUCUUGAUGUACUAACUUCUUUGACGCAGGAAUCACAAAAUCAAGCCCAAGUGAUGAGCGAAUUGAAGAAUCAAAUGGGAGAGAUCGCGGAAUUCAUGGGGCAAAUGCAAGAACAAAGUGAAGUAACUGACUCAACUGUUGAAAUUAUUGAAGCUAUCAACUUGGAAAGUGGCAUAGAGGUUGGAGAUGAACCCAAGAUGUCCAAACCAAGCCAAAACAUGGAUGAACAGUUACUGCUCGAAGAAGAGGAGGAUAACAAGGCCACGGCAAAGGAAGAACCACCAUUGCUGCAGCCUACCCUAGCCCUAACACCCUUGCCGCAUCCCCAUAUGCCCUCUAUGCAGUCCACUACAACCAAGGUAAGCCCAAAUUCAAUUCGUCCUGACCCCGUUCCACUAAAUGUCUUUAUUCCUUGCAGGAUCAUGCAAUCCAAGGAAGAAGAGGGUGAGAAAGGCAUCUUUGAAACCUUUUCCAAAGAAUCAAGAAAAAGAAGUGGAUGGGGAAUGUCUAGAAUGCAUCAAAGAGGAUGUGCUUGAGACAACCAUUCCUAAAGAAGUUGAAUUUUAUGACAUGGGACAAGUCCCAACCAUCACAUUCAAUCUGGCCAAGUCCAAUAUCCCUGAAACUUUCAAAAAUGUGGUGUUUGUCAUUGAGUUCUUGUCGGACAAAGCAAGUAAGCCAUCUUCUCCAAUUUCGAUUUUAGUAUAUACUAACUUGUUGAUUUUGAUGAUUCAGGCACCUACACUAGAAUUUAAACCAUUGUCGGAUCACGUCAAGUAUCACCGUCCAUUCAAGGAUCAAUUCCAUGCUAUGGGCCCUAUCCAAGUUUAGAAGGAAGUAUCGUCCGGCUGCAAGACGUUAAAGAAAGCGCUUCUUGGGAGGCAACCCAUGUAUUAAAAAAAGGAAGAUCUAUGAAUCGCUCUACAAUCAGUUUUGCGUUUCUAAAAACCUUCACUUUUCUGCAUUUUUAUUUUGCCAUGAUUGUCAUUUUUUUAUUUUGUUUUAUUUAAUUAUUUUUGGGUGUGGGGUUUAUUUUUGAAACAUUGAUAGAUAUGCAAGAUAUUCUUACAUUCUUUUUCAUGAAAAAAAAAAAAAGGGAACAUUAAGCAAGAAAUUACAAGAGGGAGCCUUCACAAAGGCUGAUUGGGAGGAGUCGGCGGAGUUGCAGUAGUCGGCGGAGUCUCAGCAGUCGGUGGGGCCACGGAAGGAGGAGGUAUCGGAGGUUGAUCAGUUGGAGCUUCACUACGCGGUGUCCGCCCUAGAAGACGAAGGCAGAUGCGGUUGGAACAAACCCACAAACCUUCCGGUGAUCAAGUAAAAUCUGACCAUCAUUUUCCUGCAGCUGGUCAAUUUUCCUCUUCAUGUUUGUGGCAUAACUGUGUGCAAGCUUAUGCAAUUGUUUAUUUUCAUGCUUGAGUCCUUUAAUCUCCUCUUUGAGACUCUGUAUUUCAGCCACCAACGAUUCAACGUGACGGGUUCGGGCAAAUAGGCGUUGGGCCAUGUUGGACACAGAACCGGCACACUGCACGCUAAGAGCCAGAGACUCCUUAACCGCCAAUUCAUCAGAUCCGUCUAGCGAGCAGUCUGUUAUCUCUGGGGGUGACAAGGUUCCGGGCCACCACCGCAGCGGUCAUGUCAUUUUUCAUCACCGAAUCCCCAACGGUGAGAGGACCAGUAGGGGAUAUGAAUGAUGGGCGCCAUAUGUUGUCUGGUGAAGGCGGAGCUGCCUCUUCACCAAUGUUCAAGUCAAAACGACGAUCGGAAGGGCCAGACAUUUUCUGAAGGUGGUGAAGAAAGAAGAGAGAAGGACUGAUCAAGAUUAAACAAGUGCAAGAAGGGAGUGUUUACAGGAGGGAGCUCAAGUGUGUUGUGGAACAAAAUUAGCGCCUCUAUAAAAAGAAGAAAUCAAAGAGGCGCUCCUCAGAAAUUAAAGAGGCGUCCUCUCGCAAAUCGAAGAGUCGGGGCUCCGUUCUCAAACGCCUGAUUCUUUUCUCAAAAGAGGAGUUUCCUUUCUCAAAAGCCGGAUUCUUUUCUCAAAAGAGGCAUUUCAUUUCUUAAAGGCUGGGCUUGCUCAGAAACCGCGAGCCGAACACCGAAUUUCAAAAGAUCAAAUUGUCCAGACGUGUCGUCACUCGUCACAUGCAACUGGUAGCUUUGCGGAAAUUACGGGCAGCUUUGUCAGAAAGCGCGUAAUUUGUACUAUUCAUCCAUCCACCGGCUGCCGACAAUGAGUGAGGGAAUAGUUCCGGUUGUGAAGAAAAGUCCUAUAAGUAUCUACCUUCGCCUUCCACAGCAAAGGCACACCCUCUCAGCACUUCUUCAUCUCCGAGAAUGUAUUUCCAACACACCCUCUCAAGUCACUCUGUAUUUCUCAUUCCCUGGGAUACCCCUGCAAACAACCCAUCCAGAGCAAAAGUAUUUCAUAUCAUAAUGGUUGAAAGCAAGAGUAUCUCAUAUCAUGCAUUCUCCAUGUCCUUUUCCUUGUCUUUGUUCUAACCUGCAGGACAUGGAGAAAUUGCUCUCGAGUACUCGUCUUCCACUGCUGAUGUACUUCCAAAGAAGCUGCCACAUCUACCUGAAGAACAGAUAAGGCAAGCGAAAAUGAUACCAGCAGCAUGUGGAGACAACGUACAGAAGAAAAACAAGCAGAGAAGAAUGCAGCUCGUACAAUCAACCCAGCACAAGGAGUCCGAGCUGAAGAACUAGAGAAGCUGCCACAUCUGCUUGGAGAACAAAUAAGGAACUGCAACAUCACCUCGUUUCAAGAGUAAAGCUGUGGAAAGUCAACAAGAUCAACUAUCUCCAAAACCAGAUUUGCGUUCUUAAACUCUACUCUGUCUGGUUUUUACUUUGCCAUAUUUGUCAUGUUUAUUUGUCGUUUAUUAUUUGCUUGUUUUUGGUGUGAGUAUAUGCUUGAAACAUUGAGGACAAUGUUUGAUUUAAGUGUGGGGGGGUAACCAUUGUUUUGCAUGAAAUUCGUAAAAAUUUAUCACCUAUUACUUCUAGUGUUGUUCCUUGUUGUUUUAAGUAUUUUUUUAAGCUGUUUUGGAGUGUUUCAAUGUGUUUUGACAUAAAAAAUCCGAAAAUUCAUAAAAAUUUGAAAAAUUGUUUUUGAAAAUCCAAAAAAAGAGUUGUUUUUGUGCGCUUAUUUGUGUCUUAGGGUACCUUCCAACACAAUGAUGAGGAUUCGGUUUGUAAUUGCAUGACUGUUAAAGAGAGUUAUAAACAUGGAUGAAAGUUUGAUUUACUCUUUAUUUAUGCGUGGUUGUGGUUAUAACUUAUGAAAUCACAUGUAAUCAUAAAAGAAAAAAAUUAGUUUUUGUAACAUGCUUGAAGGAAAGAACUCAAACUAACGCUACAACCUUGUGAGACUUGAGCUUAAACGUUUAUUUGGAGAGUUAAAAUCUGUGCAUUCUUGUUUUUCUAAAGUCAUUGCAUGAUCUCAUUAUUCUUUGCUUGGCUUAUUACUUAGAAGGCGUUUCAUCAUUUAGUUCCAAAUGCUAGAACUCAUGCCUAUUUCAUUCAAAGCAUGCUAUUGAUUUGCAUAAAACAUAUUCAAGAUGAAGUUGUGUAGUUACCACCACCAAAGCCAAACUGCCAUGUAUCCCAUAUCGUUAUAUGUUUAAGUUAACCCCAUUGAGCCUUGAUAGCCUACAUUCUUUGUUAAACCACAUUAUCCUUACCUAGCCUAGUUUAGGAUCCAUCCAUACCCUUGUUCUUGAAGCAUAGUAAAACAUGAUUCAAAUUGAAUUUCUUUUGAUUAAUGUAUGGCAGAAAACAAGUGUGGGGGAAGUGUGAGUUAUUAUGCUUGUUGAAAAGAAAAGAAGAGUUGAGAAAAAAAAAAAAAAAAAAAAAAAAAAAAAAGUUUUAAAGUGCUGCUUGUUGAAGAAAGAGUCCAAAACAUAGAAUUCGGCCCUAAUUAUUGCCUGAAUUUUCCCUUCGUGUCUAAAAGCUGAUUUCUGCAAUCUAAGUGAAUUCUAAGUUUCAAUUUCAUUACUUUACUUGCUAUUGCUUUAAGAACGAUUGUUAUCCUUAUCCUUCAUUUGUUAGCCAUCACCCCAAGCCCCGUUACAACCCUUAACUUCAUCUUGAGUGUCAUGCGUUUCAAUAUGUGGAGUUUGAAUUUGGUAUGAGCAUAUGGUGUCACUGGUUCUCGCAUCUAAGUAGUAGCAUUCCAUUCAUGAGAUCAUAUCUAAACAUGCUUAUUAACUCCAGAAAUUGCUUUCUUUGUGAUACAUAUAUGUGAGCGUUCGUUUUCAUAUCUACAUCAAUCUUCUCACAUAUAACUAGUAUAGGGUGUGUAGUUAGAAAAAUCUGAGUGAAAAUUGAGUUCAUAUCUUGUAAGGAAUUGAGUGAUUUCUCUAAGGCAUGUUACUACAUCAAAAACAUUGUUUUAAUUGAUUAAUUGUGAACUAGUAAGUGGUGACUAUGAUUAAGUAUGUGCUUAAGUGUAAAGAUGACUCAAAUCUGUGGGGAUAAUGAUUUUUAACAUGUCAUGUGCAUUGGAAAUCCCUGAGGCAAAUGUUGGAAGGUUUAGGUUGUGUUUUUAUUGUUUUGUUUCGUUUUAUCUCUUUGUUUUGCUCGAGGACUAGCAAAAGCUAAGUGUGGGGGAAUUUGAUAGGAGCAUAUUUAUGCGACUUAGUUGGCUUGUUCUUGUGCAUUUAUGUCGUGUUUCCUUAGUUAUUUUAAUGUUUAAAGUCAUUUUCGUGUGUUUUCAG